rnacentral:lncRNA from 1 species
AAAACGAAACUAAAAAAACUGACGAAAAACCGACGGAAAAACGAAUGAUUUUUUCGAGAAAAAAAACGGUGGCACGGAUUUCGAGGCGAGGCGAACCUCGGGCGGCGGGUCGGCGGCGGCGGCGAGGCGGCGCGGCGCGAUGGCGGCGGCGGCUAGCGGCUCGAGCAGCUAGGGUUUCGGGGGGCGGCGGCUGGGUCUCGGGCUGGCUCCCCCCGGCUUAUAAAGCCUAGUUGGGCCGGAGUCUUGGUCGGACACGGCCCGUAGGUCGGUUCGUUUUUUCUUAAAAAAUUAUGCGCAGAAGAAAAAUAAAAAGAAAUACUAAACGGACUCCAAAAAUCCCGAAAUAAAUUUUCCCGGGCUUCUAAAAUCAAGCCGCACAAGGUGAACCUUUAUUUGGGGCCUAAAUGCAAUUUUGAAAAACGCACAUUUUUCCUAAAUUCAAAUAAAAUAACGAAAAACUCCGAAAUAAAAUCUUAUUUGAUUUUAUUAUUAAAUCCUCAAUAUUUCCUUAUUUUGGGAAAUUCAUUUUAUUCCCUCUCUCAUAUUUUUGUAAUAGAAAUAAUUGAUGAUAAAAUAAUAAAAUUCAAAUGAUCCUAUUCUCAAAAUUUGAGAAAACUCAAAUAUGAAAAUAAAGAAUUUCCCAACUCUCUCCGUGGGUCCUUGAGUUGCGUAGAAAUUUCUAGGAUCAAACCAAAGGCAAAUAAAAUAUGAUAUGCAAUGAUGAUCUAAUGUAUAACAUUCCAAAUUGAAAAUUUGGGAUGUUACAAACCUAACCCCCUUAAGAUGAAUCUCGCCCUCGAGAUUCGGGUUGGCUAGAAAAUAGGUGAGGGUGAUCUUUGAGCAAAUCUUCUUCUCGCUCCCAGGUGGCUUCAUCCUCUAUGUGGUGGCUCCACUGAACCUUGCAAAACUUGAUAACCUUGCUACGAGUGACUUGGCUGGCAAACUCGAGAAUCUUAACUGGUUUCUCCUCAUAGGUCAAAUCGUUGUCCAACUGAAUUGUUUCCAAUGGCACCGUGUCUCUCAAAGGUAUGUCAGCCAUCUCCGCGUGACACUUCUUCAAUUGAGAAACGUGGAACACAUCAUGAACUCCUGACAAUCCUUUGGGCAAUUCCAACUUGUAGGCCACUUCUCCCAUACGCUCCAAAACUCGGUAUGGUCCUACAAAUCGUGGCGCUAACUUUCCUUUAACCCCAAAAUGCUUUGUUCCCCGAAGUGGAGAUACUCGAAGAUAAGCUCUAUCUCCAACUUCGUAAACAGUCUCCUUGCGUUUAGAAUCUGCAUAACUCUUCUGUCUGGACUGGGCUACCUUGAGCCUUUCGCGAAUCAAUUUCACCUUCCGUUCAGACUCUUUAAUCAAAUCAGGUCCAAACAAUUGGUGGUCUCCAACUUCGUCCCACGACAACGGUGUCCUGCACCUCCUUCCGUACAAAGCUUCGAAAGGGGCCAUUUUUAAACUGGUUUGGUAACUUUUGUUGUAAGAGAACUCUGCAUAUGGCAAAUUGUCGUCCCAACUAGAUCUGUAAUCUAGCGCACAAGCUCUCAGCAUAUCCUCCAAAAUCUGAUUGACUCUCUUGGUUUGUCCAUCUGUCUGUGGAUGAAAAGCCGUACUGAAUUCUAGCCUGGUUCCCAAAGUUUCAUGCAACUACUUCCAGAACCUUGAGGUAAACCGGGUUCCUCUAUCUGAUACGAUACUCCUCGGAACUCCAUGCAAACAUACGAUUCUGGUCAUGUAUAUCUUUGCCAACUUAGCACUUGUGUAAGUUGUUUUUACCGGGAUGAAAUGAGCUACUUUCGUCAAUCGAUCAACUACAACCCAAAUCGAGUCAUAGCCUGAAUGAGUCCUGGGUAAUCCCGUGAUAAAAUCCAUACCUAACUUAUCCCACUUCCAUUCGGGUAUCGGCAAUGGUUGUAACAAUCCUGCUGGCUUCUGAUGCUCUGCCUUUACUCUCUAACACACAUCACAAACUGCUACAUACUCCGCAAUAUCCUUCUUCAUUCCGGUCCACCAGAAAAUAUCCUUCAAAUCCAAAUACAUCUUAGUAUUUCCUGGGUGAAUCGAAUACGGUGAAUCAUGUGCCUCUUGCAGAAUCAACUUCCUGAUCUCCGGGUCAUUGGGCACAUAAACACGGUCUUCAAACCAUAGAGUAUCGUGCUCAUCCUCACGAAAUCCCUUAGCCUUUACCUUGCUAAGUUUCUCCUUAAUAGAAGCAAUCUCCUUGUUAGUCUUCUGAGCUUCUUUGAUUCUAUCCAUCAAAGUUGACUGAAUUUCCAAUGCUGCGACAUAGCCUCUUGGAACUAUUUCCAAACAUAAUUCUCGAAGAUUUUCGGCUAACUCCCUUGGAAUUUCUCCCGUCAUUAAUGUAUUGACAUGGCUCUUAUGGCUUAAUGCGUCAGCUACUACAUUAGCCUUUCCGGGAUGGUAAUGCAAUCUCAUAUCAUAAUCCUUGAUGAGCUCCAACCAUCUCCUUUGUUUGAGGUUUAACUCCUUCUGUGUGAAAAUGUAUUUCAAACUCUUAUGAUUCGUGUACACCUCACAAUGGUUUCCAAUGAGGAAAUGUCUCCAUGUUUUCAAUGCAUGCACUACGGCUGCUAACUCCAAAUCAUGCGUAGCAUAAUUCAACUCAUGAGGUUUUAGUUGUCUUGAGGCAUACGAAACAACUCUCCCUUCCUGCAUAAGCACUGCUCCAAGUCCUCGGCGUGAAGCGUCGCAAUACACCUCAUAAUCCUUGGUCUGGUCUGGCAAAAUCAACACGGGUGAAGUAACCAAGCGUUUCUUCAACUCCUGGAAACUAGCCUCACAUUCUUCCGUCCAUAUGAACUUGGUAUAUUUCUUCGACAACUCCGUCAUAGGCUUCGCAAUCUUUGAGAAAUUCUCAAUAAAUCUCCGGUAGUAUCCUGCGAGUCCGAGAAAACUCCGGAUCUCUCCAACUGUUGUUGUUGCUUCCCAAUUUGUCACAGUGUCAACCUUUGUGGGGUCAACUGCUAUUCCUUCUCCGGAUAUAACAUAUCCGAGGAAUCCUACUUCCUUUAACCAAAACUCACAUUUGCUGAACUUGGCAUACAACUGAUGUUCUCUGAGCUUACCAAGUACCAAACGCAAAUGCUCUUUAUGCUCCUCUUCGUUCUUUGAGUAAACCAAGAUAUCAUAAAUGAACACUACAACGAACUUAUCCAAAAACUCCAUAAACACUUUGUUCAUCAUGUUCAUAAAAUAUGCCGGUGCGUUAGUCAGACCAAAUGACAUAACGGUAUACACGUACAGCCCAUACCUGGUGGUAAAAGCUGUCUUAGGUAUAUCAUGUUCCUGAAUCUUCAACUGGUGGUAUCCUGAUCGCAGAUCGAUCUUGGAAAAUACCUUAGCUCCUUGCAAUCGAUCAAACAGAUCAUUGAUCAUUGGUAAUGGGUACUUGUUCUUGAUCGUUACUUCAUUCAAUCCUCGAUAAUCAACAACCAUCCUUAACGAUCUAUCCUUCUUCUCCACUAGAAGUACUGGCGAUCCCCAAGGCGAAGAACUUGGGCGAAUAUAUCCUUUAUACAGUAACUCCUUAAUAUGCUUCUUAAUUUCCACCAAAUCCUUUGCAGGCAUCCUGUAUGGUCUCUUUGAUAUUGGCCCUGUGCGUGGCAAUAGCUCAAUCAAAAACUCAAUAUCUCUAUCCGGUGGCAUGCCUGGCAACUCUUCUGGAAAUACUUCAGGGAAAUCCCUUACCACUGGUACUUCCUCCUGCACAACUCCUGUUAAGCAAUUUACUUGAGUCCUCUUUGGCACAUGUCGGGAUACAUACUUGAUCCUUCUCCCUUCUGGGGUGGUAAGCAAAAUUGACUUACUAGCACAUUCAAUAUUCCCUUCAUACUUUGAUAACCAAUCCAUGCCUAAUAUCACAUCCAAUCCUUGGGAUUCCAAUACUAUAAGGUCUGAGGGAAAAACAUAGUUACCAAUCCUUAAUGGUAACCGAUCACACCAUCGACUGGCCAUAUAUUCUGCUCCAGGCGAGGUUACUAACAUGGGUGACCUAAGGGCUUGGGUUGACAGGUUAUACUUAUCCACAAAUCCCCUUGAGAUGUAUGAAUGCGAUGCACCAGUAUCAAAAAGAACGAGUGCAGUAAAUGACUUAACCAAAAACUUACCUAUUACUGCAUCAGGCUGAGCUUCAACCUCCUCCACGCUAACGUGGUUCACCUGCCCCCUGUUGAAAGGGUUCGGCUUCUUCCCAGAGCUUCCAUUGCUAUUUCCAUUUUGUAAUUCAGGACAUUCAUUGGCAUAAUGUCCGGUCUUCGAACACUUAAAGCAAGUGACUUGGCUCAGGUCUUUCUUGGCUGGGGUUGAUGGGUUGGUGCGAUUCUGGCCGUUGCUUCCUCCAUUCCCAUUACCAUUCUUGGUGUCGUUGUGAUUGUGCGAGCUACCUCCUCCAUGGGUAUGCUGAAAAUGUCCUCCCGGUCUAGGGGUAAAACGUGGCUUCUGCUGAGCUCCUGAAUUGUACUUUCCUUGUCCAUACUUCCUCUUGCGGUUCUCAAUUUGCUGUUGCUUGCCUUCAAUCAUAAGAGCACGGUCUACCAACUCCUGGUAGUUGUUGAAGGUUGCUACCAUCAACUGCAUGCUCAACUCAUCAUUCAGUCCUUCCAGAAACUUCUCCUGCUUAGCUGCAUCCGUAGCAACGUCAUCUGGGGCAUAACGUGCUAAUUUACUGAAGUCCUCCACAUACUGACCAACUGUCCUUCCUCCUUGGCACAAGUUGCGAAACUCACGCUUCUUCAUGGCCAUAGCUCCUGCUGAAACAUGGGCAAUACGAAAAGCCUGCUGAAACUGGUCCCAUGUGACAGUGUCGACAGGGAAAGUGGCUGUGAAAUUCUCCCACCAUGAUGUUGCGGGUCCUUCAAGCUGAUGUGCGGCAAACUUCACCUUCUCCGCAUCUGUGCAUCCUGCUGUGGUCAACUCUCUAGCUGUCUUGCGGAGCCAAUCAUCUGCUACUAUCGGCUUGGUGCUACUGGAAAACACUGGCGGAUUCAGCCUAAGAAAACGGGCUAAGUGAUCAACAGGUGGUGGUGGUGGGUUAUUGUUGUUGUUCCCCUGAUUCUGAUUCUGGACUAGCAACUGCAUCAAUGUGUUCUGCUGCUGGAUCAACUGGGUGAGUUCCGGUGGAAAGGUAAAUCCGGGGUCACGUCUCGGAGGCAUCUGAGGUUUUAGAAAAGAUGAGAGUUAAGAAUAGAGGGGGUCUAAAGAGAAAACACUACCCAUAUGCACAUGAGGCAAAAGCAAACAAUUCACUUCAUUCAAUCAAACAAGGGCAUAAAAUCGAUCUAACUAUCGCAAAAGUGCUUGGACUACUAUAUUUACAUGGUGGACUACUACUACUGAUGAGGUGGUCUACUAGAAAUAUUCUUCGGUUGCAGACUCCAUGAUAUCUGCUCCGGCUUCAUCAACAUAGUCAUCCUCACUAUCAUCUGGGUCUGAGUCGGUGUCGUUGAUGAUGAUGUAGUCUUCCGGGUGAAUCUCCUUGGGUUCUUCGUCUUCAUCUAUUGGUGUAGGGCCUCCCAUAAAUAUCCUGAUCUUCACUGUUAGGUCGGCAUUCUUAUCCACUAAUACUUCAAUUUCUUCUUCAUAAUCUUCACGUGUAGCCUUGAGUUCUUCCUCCAGUUCCUUGAUUCUUGUCCUUGCCUUCUUCAGAUCUAUCAUGUCGGAGCACAUCUGGUUCUCCUAACGUCGAAUGUGUUGGUUUAAUUCCUGGAUAAAAGCUGCAAUGGAUCUAUGCUUUCUGGUGCUGAUCAUCUCCCAGUGCGCAUCUCGGCGCCCACAAAUUUGGUAGAUAGUAUCCUUGAGAUCAUUGCGGUAGACUUCUCCAAUGCGUCCCAUGGCGAUGUGAGCUGCCAUGCUCUUUCCUAGAUUCGAAGUUGGUGCAUCAAAAGAAAACUCUAUGGGCUCAGUGACUGGCAUGAAUGUCCUUCCUGGAACUUGAACUUGAACCAUCCAGCGCUCUUCUUCAGGUAAAGUGGCGUUGUAGGUUCUGGUGAAGCUUGGUACUCCGAUGUUCAGGUAUCUAGUGACUUCCUUCAAGUGACAUCCAAAGGGUGUAUCUUCAUCCGGUUGCGUGAACUUGUUCCUUGCAUCCGCCAUCCUAAAAGAGUAGAAAAGAUGAGAGGUCAGAAGAGAAGAGAGUGAAUAGUGAUCUAGGUCUUUAGCUUAGUGGUCGUGUCCUACAGUCAGCGUGUGCUCUGAUACCAUCUCUGUAGAGACCAGACCUCAAACAGUCUGAUCUUUGUGCUCUGGUGUCAUCCCUGGAUCAGUAAUGCUGACACCACACAGUACUCUGAGGAUUUAUAACAGAGUAGCAAUCACACACUUAUUACAUCGAGUGUCUCAAUAGAGAACUAUUACAAUAAAUAUGGCUUAAGGCCAUCUAAUAACGAUAACAGCGGAAGGCUUGGAAGAUAAGUGAGUCCAUCAACUCCAAUGGCAUCACUAAGUAUAGAACCACGACCUAAAAACUCCUUAAUCGUCGUCUCAAAAGUCUGCAACAUUAAUGUUGCAGCCCGAAACGGGUCAGCACAUGGAAUAUGCUGGCAAGGUAACACAUAGAGAGUAAUGAAAUGAAACAGCUAUACUAUAUGCAUAUUUGGCUGGUGGAAAGCUCUAUGGUUACAGUUUUGGGUAAAGCCAAUUUUUCCCUACUGCAAAGGAAUAAAUUUAUUUAACUAUCAUGGUAGUUGUUAAACAUUGAGAAUGGUUGACAGCAUCCUCAAUCCCAAUUAAAGUAAUCAUCAUUAAACAAAACCCAACAAACUUAAUUUAGAGUAACAUGUUGAGAUUCACAUGAUAAUCCAGGUACUAGAUACUCAAGAUGUCCAUAACCGGGGACACGGCUAACCAUGAUUAGUUUAUUACACUCUGCAGAGGUUUGCGCACUUUUCCCCACAAGACUCGAUCGCCUCCGUUUGGUUUCUCGCACUACAUGGUGUUUGAGAAGACGGAUGACCGAGACAUAGUCUUUCAGAAGGCUAGCACCUUACGAUCAGGUAGACUGUACCACCUACAUCCCCUACAUCUGCUAGUCUACCACUGUAAGAGUUCGCACGACUUAGUAAACUAUGCUAGAGCCCAUAAUAGCUUGUGGCUGCACACGGAAGUUUCUAGCAUGAAUAAUCUCAUGAUCCCUUUGAGCCUGGGUGGCGGUCCAAAAGAAAACAGGCAAAUCCUGGAUUACCCAGGUGCCUCAAUCCACCCAGAUGUGUGUUUAAGUUGCCACCUUAGAUAAACAAUUAAGUAACAAUCUCACAUCUGUCAUGGAUAUCACUCACCCAAUCCACGUCUACUAGCAUAGCAUGGCAUAAUAAGCAAAUGUAGAAGUAACUCCCAAAGGUUUGAUAAUAAACAGGUAAUAGGUACUACCUCAUCUACUUCCCAUCCCACAAUUUAAUUAGAUCCUAAUCAUGCAAUGUUCGAGGAUUUGAUCUAAUGCAAUAAAACUGGGUAGUAGAAAAGGUAUGAUCAAAGUGUUACUUGACUUGCUGAUGAUCCGUGAAACCUAGAGAUUCGAAGUAACAGGCGGCGCACUCCGGGUAUUCUAUCGCAGACAAACAAACAAGCAUACAAUAAGUACUCAUCUAAUGCACGGGUAAAACUCGAAUAAGAGAUCUAACCAGAAAGUUCAACUUAAGAACUCCGGUUUGCAAAAAGAAUCAAAUCGAACGAAGCAAGGAAAGUCAAACGGCGAAAGAAAACAACUUCGUUCUACUAAUCUGUAUCUAAAGCAAUUUUUACAGUAGCAAAAACUUGUUUAAGUUGGUUAAAUGAAUAGAGGGUUUCGAGACGAAACUCCAGGCGCUUGAAUCGCCUGAUUCCGAUAAACGAGCAAAAAGUUAUACUAAAACGAAAAUCGGAUCAGAAAUCGCGAUCAGAAAAAUCGCGGAUUUAAUCUGAGAAAAGGAAAAACGACGGACGUUCGCUAGAACGAACAAACGGACGAACGCUAGCUAUUUAAAUAAAUCGGAAAAACCGAUCUAUUUUAAAAAACCGAAACUAAAAAAACUGACGAAAAACCGACGGAAAAACCGAACGAUUUUUUCAAAAAAAAACGGCGGCAUGGAUUUCGAGGCAAGGCGAACCUCGGGCGGCGGGUCGGCGGCGGCGCGGCGGUGCCGGUGGCGAGCGCGGGCGGCGAGGCGGCGCGGCGCGAGGCGGUGGCGGCUGGCGGCUCGGGCGGCUAGGGUUUCGGGGGGCGACGGCUGGGCCUCGGGCUGGCUCCCCCCCCGGCUUAUAAAGCCUAGUCGGGCCGGAGUCCUAGUCGGACACGGCCCGCAGGUUGGUUCGUUUUUUUUAAAAAAAAUACGUGUAGAAGAAAAAUAAAAAGAAAUACUAAACGGACUCCAAAAAUCUCGAAAUAAAUUUUCCCGGGCUUCUAAAAUCAAGCCGCACAAGGUGAACAUUUAUUUGGGGCCUAAAUGCAAUUUUGAAAAACGCACAUUUUUCCUAAAUUCAAAUAAAAUAACGAAAAACUCCGAAAUAAAAUCUUAUUUGAUUUUAUUAUUAAAUACUCAAUAUUUCCUUAUUUUGGGAAAGUCAUUUUAUUCCCUCUCUCAUAUUUUUGUAAUAGAAAUAAUUGAUGAUAAAAUAAUAACAUUCAAAUGAUCCUAUUCUCAAAAUUUGAGAAAAAACUCAAAUAUGAAAAUAAAGAAUUUCCCAACUCUCUCCGUGGGUCCUUGAGUUGCGUAGAAAUUUCUAGGAUCAAACCAAAGGCAAAUAAAAUAUGAUAUGCAAUGAUGAUCUAAUGUAUAACAUUCCAAAUUGAAAAUUUGGGAUGUUACAACGCGCCCCCUGCCUCGUGGCUUCCUCGUUGCUUCCCUUACGUGGACUCCAAGUCUCCCGGGUUGCUUUCCUUCCAAAAAUAAGUUCCAUGAAGUUUCAGGUCAAUUGGACUCCGUUUGAUUUUCCUUUUCUGCGAUACUCUAAAACAAGGAAAAAAAACAGAAACUGGCAUUGGGCUCUAGGUUAAUAGAUUAGUCCCAAAAAUCAUAUAAAAUAGCAUAUAAAUGCAUAUAAAACAUCCAAGGUUGAUAAUAUAAUAGCAUGGAACAAUCAAAAAUUAUAGAUACGUUGGAGACGUAUCAAGGUAUCAAUCCUGUAGGAGGCUACGCGCGAGUCCCUCGUACCUGCACAAAACAAAUAAAUCCUCGCAACCAACGCAAAUAGGGGUUGUCAAUCCCUAUAAGGCCACUUACGAGAGUGAGAUCUGAUAGAUAUGAUAAGAUAAUAUUUUUGGUAGUUUUAUGAUAAAGAUGCAAAGUAAAAUAAACGCCAAGUAAAUAGCAAAGGAAAUAACUAAGUAGUAGGAGAUUAAUAUGAUAAUGAUAGACCCGGGGGCCAUAGGUUUCACUAGUGGCUUCUCUCGAGAGCAUAAGUAUUCUACGGUGGGUGAACAAAUUAUUGUUGAGCAAUUGACAGAAUUGAGCAUAGUUGUGAGAAUAUCUAGGUAUGAUCAUGUAUAUAGGCAUCACGUCCGAGACAAGUAGACCGACUCCUGCCUGCAUCUACUACUAUUACUCCACUCGUCGACCGCUAUCCAGCAUGCAUCUAGAGUAUUAAGUUAAAAACAUAGUAACGCCUUAAGCAAGAUGACAUGAUGUAGAGGGAUAAACUCAUGCAAUAUGAAGAAAACCCCAUCUUGUUAUCCUCGAUGGCAACAAUACAAUACGUGCCUUGGUGCCCCUACUGUCACUGGGAAAGGACACCGCAUGAUUGAACCCAAAGCUAAGCACUUCUCCCAUUGCAAGAAAGAUCAAUCUAGUAGGCCAAACCAAACUGAUAAUUCAAAGAGACUUGCAAAUAUAACCAAUCAUACAUAAAAUAAUUCGAAGAAGAUUCAAAUAUUAUUCAUAGAUGGACUUGAUCAUAAACCCACAAUUCAUCGGUCUCAACAAACACACCGCAAAAAGAAGAUUACAUCGAAUAGUUCUCCAAAAGAGAGGGGGAGAACAUUGUAUUGAGAUCCAAAAAGAGAGAAGAAGCCAUCUAGCUACUAACUAUGGACCCGUAGGUCUGAGGUAAACUACUCACACUUCAUCGGAGGGGCUAUGGUGUUGAUGUAGAAGCCCUCCAUGAUCGAUGCCCCCUCCGGCGGAGCUCCGGACAGGCCCCAAGAUGGGAUAUCGUGGAUACAGAAAGUUACGGCGGUGGAAUUACGGUUUUGGCUCCGUGGCUGAUCGUUUGGGGGUACGUAGGUAUAUAUAGGAGGAAGGAGUACGCCGGUGGAGCAACAGGGGGCCCACGAGGGUGGAGGGCACGCCUGGGGGGGGGUAGGCGCGCCUCCUACCUCGUGGCCUCCUCUUUUCUUUCUUGACAUAGGGUCCAAGUCUCCCGGGUCUUGUUCGUUGACAAAAUCACGUUCCCGAAGGUUUCAUUCCGUUUGGACUCCGUUUGAUAUUCCUUUUCUUCGAAACACAACAAUUCUGGGCUGGGCCUCCGGUUAAUAGGUUAGUCCCAAAAAUAAUAUAAAAGUGGAUAAUAAAGCCCAAUAAUGUCCAAAACAGUAGAUAAUAUAGCAUGGAGCAAUCAAAAUUAUAGAUACGUUGGAGACGUAUCAAGCAUCCCCAAGCUUAAUUCCUGCACGUCCUCGAGUAGGUAAAUGAUAAAAACAGAAUUUUUGAUGCGGAGUGCUACUUGGCAUAAUUUUAAUGUAAUUCUUCUAAAUUGUGGUAUGAAUAUUCAGAUCCGAAAGAUUCAAGACAAAAGUUCAUAUUGACAUAAAAAUAAUAAUACUUCAAGCAUACUAACUAAGCAAUUAUGUCUUCUCAAAAUAACAUGGCCAAAGAAAGUUCAUCCCUACAAAAUCAUAUAGUUUAAUCAUGUUUCAUUUUCGUCACACAAUAAUGCUCUCAUCAUGCACAACCCCGAUGACAAGCCAAGCAAUUGUUUCAUACUUUUAGUAAUCUCAAACCUAUAAACUUUCACGCAAUAUAUGAGCGCGAGCCAUGGACAUAGCAGUAUGGGUGGAAUAGAAUAUAAUGAGGGGGGUUAUGUGGAGAAGACAAAAAAGGAGAAAGUCUCACAUCAACGAGGCUAAUCAAUGGGCUAUGGAGAUGCCCACCGAUUGAUGUUAAUGCAAGGAGUAGGGAUUGCCAUGCAACGGAUGCACUAGAGCUAUAAAUGUAUGAAAGCUCAACAAAAGAAACUAGUGGGUGUGCAUCCAACUUGCUUGCUCACGAAGACCUAGGGCACUUAAGGAGGCCCAUUGUUGGAAUAUACAAGCCAAGUUCUAUAAUGAAAAAUUCCCACUAGUAUAUGAAAGUGACAAAACAAGAGACUCUCUAUCAUGAAGAUUACGGUGCUACUUUGAAGCACAAGUGUGGAAAAGGAUAGUAACAUUGUCCCUUCUCUCUUUUUCUCUCAUUUUUUUGGGCCUUCUCUUUUUUUAUGGCCUUUCUCUUUUUUUCUUUUUUUAUAUGGCCUUUCUCUUUUUUAUGGCCUUUUUUUAUAUUCCUCAAUUGGGACAAUGCUCUAGAAAAUGAUGAUCAUCACACUUCUAUUUAUUUACAACUCAAUGAUUACAACUCGAUACUAGAACAAAGAUGACUCUAUAUGAAUGCCUCCGGCGGUGUACCGGGAUAUGCAAUGGACCAAGAGUGACAUGUAUGAAAGAAUUAUGAACGGUGGCUUUGCCACAAAUACUAUGUCAACUACAUGAUCAUGCUAAGCAAUAUGACAAUAGUGAAUGUGUCAUGAUGAACGGAAUGAUGGAAAGUUGCAUGGCAAUAUAUCUCGGAAUGGCUACGGAAAUGCCAUAAUAGGUAGGUAUGGUGGCUGUUUUGAGGAAGAUAUAAGGAGGUUUAUGUGUGAAAGAGCGUGUCAUAUCACGGGGUUUGGAUGCACCGGCGAAGUUUGCGCCAACUCUCAAUGUGAGAAAGGGCAAUGCACGGUACCGAAGAGGCUAGCAAGGAUGGAAGGGUGAGAGUGCGUAUAAUCCAUGGACUCAACAUUAGUCAUAAAGAACUCACAUACUUAUUGCAAAAAUCCACAAGUUAUCAAAAACCCCAGUACUACGCACAUUCUCCUAGGGGGAUAGAUUGGUAGGAAAAGACCAUCGCUCGUCCCCGACCGCCACUCAUAAGGAAGACAAUCAAAUAACACCUCAUGUUUCAAAUUUGUUGCAUAACGUUUACCAUACGUGCAUGCUACGGGACUUGCAAACUUCAACACAAGUAUUUCUCAAUUUCACAACUACUCAACUAGCACGACUUUGAUAUUAUUACCUCCAUAUCUCAAAACAAUCAUCAAGCAUCAAACUUCUCUUAGUAUUCAAAACACUCUUAAGAAAAUUUUACUAACUUUGAAUACCUGUCAUAUUAGGAUUUUAAGCAAAUUACCAUGCUAUUAAGACUCUCAAAAUAAUAUAAGUGAAGCAUGAGAGAUCAAUAGUUUCUAUAAAACAAAUCCACCACCGUGCUCUAAAAUAUAUAAUUGAAGUACUAAAGCAAAACUAUAUAACUCAAAAGAUAUAAGCGAAGCACAUAGAGUAUUCUAACAAAUUCCAAAUCAUGUAUGGCUCUCUCAAAAGGUGUGUACAGCAAGGAUGAUUGUGGUAAACUAAAAGGCAAAGACUCAAAUAAUACAAGACGCUCCAAGCAAAACACAUAUCAUGUGGCAAAUAAAAAUAUAGCUCCAAGUAAAGUUACCGAUAGAAGUAGACGAAAGAGGGGAUGCCUUCCGGGGCAUCCCCAAGCUUUGGCUUUUAGGUGUCCUUAGAUUAUCUUGGGGGUUCCAUGGGCAUCCCCAAGCUUAGACUCUUUCCACUCAUUGUUCCAUAAUCCAUCAAAUCUUUACCCAAAACUUGAAAACUUCACAACACAAAACUUAAAGUAGAAAAUCUCGUGAGCUCCGUUAGCGAAAGUAAAUAAAAGACCACUUCAAGGUACUGUAAUGAACUCAUUAUUUAUUUAUAUUGGUGUUAUACCUACUGUAUUCCAACUUCUAUAUGGUUUAUAAACUAUUUUACUAGCCAUAGAUUCAUCAAAAUAAGCAAACAACAUACGAAAAACAGAAUCUGUCAAAAACAGAACAGUCUGUAGUAAUCUGUAGCUAGCGCAAGAUCUGGAACCCCAAAAAUUAUAAAAUAUAUUUCUGGAAGUGAGGAAUUUAUCUAUUAAUCAUAUGAAAAAAGAAUUAACUAAAUAUCACUUUCCAAAUAAAAAUGACAGCAGUUCUCGUGAGUGCUAAAGUUUCUGUUUUUUACAGCAAGUUCAACAAGACUUUCCCCAAGUCUUCCCAACGGUUCUACUUGGCACAAACACUAAUUAAACACAAAAAAACAACCAAAACAGAGGCUAGAUAAAUUAUUUAUUACUAAACAGGAGCAAAAAGCAAGGAAUAAAAAUAAAAUUGGGUUGCCUCCCAACAAGCGCUAUCGUUUAACGCCCCUAGCUAGGCAUAACAAGCAAGAAUAUAUCUAGGUAUUGCCAUUUUUGGUAGGCAAUCCAUAAGUGGCUCCCAUAAUAGAUUCAUAAGGUAAUUUAAUUUUCUUUCUAGAAAAGUGUUCCAUGCCUUUCCUUAAUGGAAAUUGGAAUCUAAUAUUUCCUUCCUUCAUAUCAAUAAUUGCACCAAUCGUUCUAAGGAAAGGUCUACCAAGAAUAAUAGGACAUGAAGGAUUGCAAUCUAUGUCAAGAACAAUAAAAUCUACGGGCACAUAAUUACUAUUUGCAACAAUAAGAACAUCAUUAAUGCUUCCCAUAGGUUUCUUAAUAGUGGAAUCCACAAGGUGCAAGUUUAGAGAGCAAUCAUCAAAAUCACGGAAACCUAACAAAUCACACAAAGUCUUUGGAAUCGUGGAAACACUAGCACCCAAAUCACAUAAAGCAUAGCAUUCAUGAUCUUUAAUUUUUAAUUUUAAUAAUUGUUUCCCACUCAUCAUAAAGUUUUCUAGGGAUAGAAACUUCCAAUUCAAGUUUUUCUUCAUAAGAUUGCAUCAAGGCAUCAACGAUAUGUUUAGUAAACGCUUUAUUUUGACUAUAAGCGUGAGGAGAAUUUAGCACAGAUUGCAACAAGGAAAUACAAUCAAUCAAAGAUCAAUUUUCAUAGUUAAAUUCCUUGAAAUCCAUAAUAGUGGGUUUAGCAACAUCUAGGGUUUUAAUUUCUUCAAUCCCACUUUUAUCAAUUUUAGCAUCAAGAUCAACAAAUUCUAAAUUCUUGGAAUGCCUUCUAGGUAAAGGUGGAUCAUAUUCAGUCCCAUCAUUAUCAAGAUUCAUAUUGCAAAACAAAGAUUUAAUAGGGGACACAUCAAUAACUUUUAGAUCUUCAUCUUUAUUUUCAUAGGAACUAGAAGAACAUCUUUCUUAGCAUGCAUCCUAGCAGUUCUUUCUUUGAACUCAUCAAUGGAAAUUCUCAUGGCUUUGAGAGACUCAUUGAUAUCAUGCUUAGGUGGAAUAGAUCUAAGUUUCAAAGAAUCAACAUCAAGAGAAAUUAUAUCAACGUUCCUAGCCAAAUAAUCAAUCUUAAGCCAUUUUUCUUCAAUCAUAGCAUUAAAAUUCUUUUGCAAAGUAAUAAAUUAUUUAAUAUUAGAUCCAAAAUCAGAGGGCAUAUUAUUAUAAUUUCCAUAAGAAUUGUUGUAGGAAUUACCAUAAUUAUUAGAGGAAUUACUAGGAUAAGGCCUAGGGUUGAAAUUUCCUCUAUACGCAUUGUUACCAAAAUUGUUCCUACCAACAAAAUUCACAUCCAUAGAUUCAUUAUUAUUCUCAAUCAAAGUAGACAAGGGCAUAUCAUUAGGAUCAGAAGAAACACUCUCAUUAGCAAAUAAUUUCAUAAGUUCAUCCAUCUUUCCACUCAAAACAUUAAUUUCUUCUAUCGCAUGCACCUUUUUAUUAGUAGAUCUUUCAGUAUGCCAUUGAGAAUAAUUAACCAUAAUAUUAUCUAGGAGUUUAGUAGCUCCUCCUAAAGUGAUUUCCAUAAAAGUGCCUCCCGCGGCCGAAUCUAAAAGAUUUCUAGAAGCAAAAUUCAAUCCGGCAUAAAAAAUUUGUAUAAUCAUCCACAAAUUUAAACCAUGAGUAGGGCAAUUAUGUAUCAUUAAUUUCAUUCUCUCCCAAGCUUUUGCAACAUGUUCAUGAUCAAGUUGCUUAAAAUUCAUAAUAUCGUUUCUAAGAGAGAUGAUCUUAGCGGGAGGAAAAUACUUAGAGAUAAAAGCAUCUUUGCACUUGUUCCAUGGAUCAAUACUAUUUUUAGGCAAAGACGAAAACCAAGCUUUAGCAUGAUCUCUAAGCGAAAAAGGAAAUAGCUUCAAUUUAACAAUAUCAUUAUCCACAUCUUUCUUCUUUUGCAUGUCACACAAAUCAACGAAGCUAUUUAGAUGGGUAGCAGCAUCUUCACUAGGAAGGCCGAAAACGGAUCUUUCAUGACAAGAUUCAGCAAAGUAGUAUUAAUUUCACAAGAUUCAGCAUCAGUAAGAGGAGCAACCGGAGUGCUAAUAAAAUCAUUGUUGUUGGUAUUGGUGAAGUCACACAAUUUAGUAUUGUCUUGAGCCAUCGUGACAAGCAAGCAAACUAACACACAAGCAAACAAAAAGCAAGCGGGCAAAAAGAGGCAAAUAGAGAAAGAGAGGGAGGAUAGAGAGAGAGGGCGAAUAAAACGGCAAGGGUGAAGUGGAGGAGAGGAAAACGAGAGGCAAAUGGCAAAUAAUGUAAUGCGGGAGAUAAGGGUAUGUGAUGGGUACUUAGUAUAUUGACUUUUGCGUAGACCUCCCCGGCAACGGCGCCAGAAAUCCUUCUUCCUACCUCUUGAGCACUGCGUUGAUUUUCCCCGAAGAGGAAGGGAUGAUGCAGGAAAGUAGCGUAAGUAUUUCCCUCAGUUUUUUAGAACCAAGGUAUCAAUCCAGUAGGAGGCUACGCGCGAGUCCCUCGUACCUGCACAAAACAAAUAAAUCCUCGCAACCAACGCAAAUAGGGGUUGUCAAUCCCUAUAAGGCCACUUACGAGAGUGAGAUCUGAUAGAUAUGAUAAGAUAAUAUUUUUGGUAUUUUUAUGAUAAAUAUGCAAAGUAAAAUAAAGUCAAAGUAAAUAGCAAAGGAAAUAAAUAAGUAGUAGGACAUUAAUAUGAUAAAGAUAGACCCGGGGCCAUAGGUUUCACUAGUGGCUUCUCUCGAGCGCAUAAGUAUUCUAUGGUGGGUGAACAAAUUACUAUUGAGCAAUUGACAGAAUUGAGCAUAGUUAUGAGAAUAUCUAGGUAUGAUCAUGUAUAUAGGCAUCACGUCUGAGACAAGUAGACCGACUCCUGCCUGCAUCUACUACUAUUACUCCACUCAUCGACCGCUAUCCAGCAUGCAUCUAGAGUAUUAAGUUAAAAACAGAGUAACGCCUUAAGCAAGAUGACAUGAUGUUGAGGGAUAAACUCAUGCAAUAUGAAGAAAACCCCAUCUUGUUAUCCUCGAUGACAACAAUACAAUACGUGCCUUGCUGCCCCUACUGUCAUUGGGAAAGGACACCGCAAGAUUGAACCCAAAGCUAAGCACUUCUCCCAUUGCAAGAAAGAUCAAUCUAGUAGGCCAAACCAAACUGAUAAUUCGAAGAGACUUGCAAAGAUAACCAAUCAUACAUAAAAGAAUUUCAAAGAAGAUUCAAAUAUUAUUCAUAGAUAGACUUGAUCAUAAACCCACAAUUCAUCGGUCUCAACAAACACACCGCAAAAAGAAGAUUACAUCAAAUAGUUCUCCACAAGAGAGGGUGAGAACAUUGUAUUGAGAUCCAAAAAGAGAGAAGAAGCCAUCUAGCUACUAACUAUGGACCCGUAGGUCUGAGGUAAACUACUCACACUUCAUCAGAGGGGCAAUGGUGUUGAUGUAGAAGUCCUCCAUGAUCGAUGCCCCCUCCGGCGGAGCUCCGGAAUAGGCCCCAAGAUGGGAUAUCGUGGAUACAGAAAGUUACGGUGGUGGAACUAGGGUUUUGGCUCCGUGGCUGAUCGUUUGGGGGUACGUAGGUAUAUAUAGGAGGAAGGAGUACGUCGGUGGAGCAAUAGGGGGCCCACAAGGGUGGAGGGCGCGCCUGGGAGGUAGGCGCGCCCCCCUACCUCGUGGCCUCCUCUUUUCUUUCUUGACAUAGGGUCCAAGUCUCCCGGGUCUUGUUCAUUGAGAAAAUCAUGUUCCCGAAGGUUUCAUUCCGUUUGGACUCCGUUUGAUAUUCCUUUUCUUUGAAACCCUAAAAUAGGCAAAAAAUAGCAAUUCUGGGCUGGGCCUCCUGUUAAUAGGUUAGUCCCAAAAAUAAUAUAAAAGUGGAUAAUAAAGCCCAAUAAUGUCCAAAACAGUAGAUAAUAUAGCAUGGAGCAAUCAAAAAUUAUAGAUACGUUGGAGACGUAUCACAUGACAUCCUUCAUUUGAGCCCAAGUAGUGAUGGGUGGUUCACCUUUUGCCUCUCGACGGUCAAUGACUUGUUCCCACCUAAUGAGGACAUAGUCUUGGAACUCAAGGGAUGCCAUCGCGAUCUUCUUCUCUUCUUCAAAGUUAUGCAAGCGAAAGAUUUUGUCGACCUUCAAUGCCCAUGAAAGGUACUCUUCGGGAUCAUUGCUUCCAUUGAACUUGGGCAUGGUGAACUUUAGCUUGCCAUAGCAUUGCUCUUCAUUGUGUUCGGGUCGGGGAUAAUGACGUCCUUGACGAGGAGGGUCGUCUCUCACAACUUGCUCUUGUCGUGGAGGAUUUCCAAUGUUAACUUUCUCCUGUUGAACUUGAUGUUGUUGGCGAGCUUGUGGAGCUUGACGACGCAAUCGAGCUUGAUAGUUCCUCUCUUGAACUUCUUCGCGAAGCGCUUCUUGAUGUUCACGAGCUUGUCGGCCUCGGUUGGCUAUGACCCAACUUGAUUCUCGGAGGGCUUGUUGCGCCUCAACUGCUUGAGCUUCUCGCAAUUGUUGUUCUUGAUGUUGUGCCUCGGCAUCUUGUGCUUCUUGGUGUAGUCGCGCUCGCUCUUCCUCUUCAUGUUGGCGUUGUCAUUGCCGUUCUCGUGCUUGCGCAAAGGUAGCUUGGUUUUGACGAUGUCGUUGUUCUUGAGAGUUGUUGUCAUGUAGAGGGUUGCGGUUUUCUUGACGAUCUUGGCGAACGGCACGAUGAAGAGUGUUAGAUGUCAGUGUACUUGAGCCGGAGAUGGUGUAGUCGGAGUGUCAACUUGAGCGGCUCCGUCUUGAUGAGGACGAAGUGGAAGAAGAGCCGUUGAGCAACAAAGCACAAAUCUCGUCCAUUCUUGCAUCGUUCUCUUGCUUGUGGUCGUCAAGCUUGUGGUCGAAGUAGUCUCUUGUACAUUGCUCGGAGAGUCGCAAGUCGGUGGCGAAGUUGAAGAUGCGUUCGCUCAUUGCUUGUUGCUCUUGAUGCAAAGCACGUUGUGCACCAAAGAGGUGGCUCUUUGUGACGUAGGAGUUCAUGCCAUCGUCUUGCCCGAUGAAGAGUGGGUUGGUAGAAGUACUUGGCAUAUCCAUCAUUCCAAGGGAAAUAUGUGAGUGGGAGAAAGAGAAGAACGUAUACCAAAUGUACCUUGACCGAUGUUGAAGAUGGAUCGAAGAUCACUCCAAUGUGGAACAAGGAAAUAACACAAUUGGUACUAAUUCUUGUCGGUUUCUCACACCUAGACAAGUAAAAGCUUGUGGUGGAGCUUGGUUAGGAUGGUGGCACAAAAUUUGAUGCAAUUGUUAGUGAGCUUCAAUAAUGUUGGAAAAGAUUCGCAAGUUUGCAAUGCAACAAGUAGACCAAUAGCAAUAUAUGGUACACGGGAACACACACACAAAGAGAUGAAUGGGGUCGUGCAACCAAGGAUGAGCCAAAAUGUGGAAUCCACGAAAAUGCUCUUGUUGCACAACACUAGAGAGACGCUAGCAUGAUUGCAAAAUAGGCGGAUACGAAGACUUGUGCAUAACCUACUAAGUAAAAAUGCAACGACUUCUAUCCCAAGUAGGCUCUAUGUAUGGUAUUCCGAUGAUAUGAUCCAAGAUGUUCUAGUAUGACAAUCUUAAUGCUGUAUGAUGCUAUGGUUCUUGCUUAAAAGCUCUUUGCUUAUCUUUCCCUUUUGCUUAAAAGCUUGUUUGGCUCUUUGUUGUUUGAGCUCUUUUCUUAUGCAAUGCUUCACGAACCAAGAUACCAAUUGUGUAUGCGAUGACAACCUCGUGACUAUUGUUGAGGAAAUCGUUAACUGGUAGCUGCUCGGUUGGCUAGCGAGUAGGGGAUUAAUCGGCUAAUCGGCAAGUUAAUCGGCCAUUUAAUCAAUUAAUCGGAUGAUUUUUCGGUUUAUCGGCUACUCGGUGACCCUAUGAGUAGGGAUUAAUCGACAAGUUAACUGGUUAAUCGGAUGAAUUCUUAAACAGGGGUGACACAAGAGACGAUACCAAGAUAUGCACCAAUAAUAUGAUAUAUAUAUAUAUAUGCAAUGUUUAGUAUGAUCACUAAUGUGCACAAGUCACGUUGCCGGCAAUACUCAAAGGCUAGUCUCGAUGGGUAAGAUACGCAAAAGGUAAGGCUAUGGUGGUUAUCAAUGUAAUGGCAAGAAUGAUGUAUCACUAUACCAAGACGAGGUUACCAUUCUUGCUUACGGUAUGGUGUCAAAAUGGUGGAGUUGUCGAUGACGAAUCCGUGGCGAAGAUGAGCGGCGGUGAUGUUGAUGUCGAACUGUACCAAAAUAGCCGAAACACAAUAGGACACGGAACCGCAACUCAAAUUCUCAAAGCAAAACAUGACAAAAUUGUCAGAGUUGGUAGGGGUAAGCGAUGGUGGUGCUAUGCGGAAAGUGGUGGUGGUAUGCGGAAGUGUAUGUGGGCACCAGAACAAAACUUGUCAAAAUUUGGACGGAAAACAUGGCGGUGGAUGGAAGUGAUGCUACCAAGGGGCCGGAUGUCCGGGGUGGCCGGAUGUCCGAGUGUUCGGGCCGGAUGUCCGGGCUCUGGAUCUAUGGACGAACUCCGCGUGGAAAGUGGCAAAUCAGGGCAAAAUUUGGGGGAAUUUGCCGAUGGAAAUUGGGGAAAAGAUGGGGGAAAGCUAGAUCUACCUGCAACACAUGAAAUCCGCGGAUCAAAUCCAACAAAACUUCAUCACACCAAUAAAUCACAAAAAAAAUUGGGGGGCUAGUUUUGUGGGAAAUUUUCGAAUUAGGGACAAAAUCAACAAAACAGGCUAGAAAACACAACGGGGAGGCUCCGAAAUCAUGAUAACGUGGUUCUAUAUACCAAGAUGAUGUAGGAUGAAACCCUAGAUGGCCAAUCUUUCACGAAAGGAGCGGAUCCCACGAAGGACACUAAGAACACGAGGGGAAACACGAGGGGAAAUCCCAAAGGGGAACACAAGUGAAACACUCAAACCAACAAGUAUGAUCACACAUGUGCUAGAUCCAUGAACACAAAAGGAGAUACAAGAUCCAAAGUCAACAAGGGAAGAUACACGGUAAUCGAUUCUUCUCCAAAGGAGGUCUUGAUGGGGACACCCAAGAGGGGGUCUUGAAUCCAAGGGGAUCUUCUCCGUAGAGGGGCCGCGGUCUCUCUCAUGGAGUAGAUCCGUAAUGGAUGAGCAAAGCUCUAUCUCUAAAUGAGCUAGUCCUUUGCUAACCCUAAAACGUAGGUAGGAGAAGAGUAUAUAUAGUCUAGGUGGGCGAAGGGGUACACGGGCCUCGGGCCCUUACACUGUGCACAAACAGGGGAGGCCGGACGUCCGGGCGUCGGGCCGGAUGUCCGGGCUUUCACGAGGGGCCAGAUGUCAAGGCUGGGGUGGCCGAACAUCCGGGCUAGAGGCGCUUGUCUUGUUGCUCUCUGGAUAGGUGGGGUUCGGAUUUCCGGGCGAAGGGCCGGAUAUCCGGGUGCGCGGGACAGGCCGGAUGUUCGGGCUGGUCGCCGGAUAUCCGGGCCCUGUAGACUUGGCCGCUGGCUCCUUGUUGUUGUUGACACUUCCAGGGGCCGGAUGUCCGGGGUCAUGGCCGGAUGUCCAGGGCCUGGGAGUUGUUCUUGACUCCUUCCAUUGGUUCUAUUCAUCCGUGAACUUGGGGACUUGUCCGUCUUCAUGUGCAUCUUCGGGAGGGUCCUCCUGGUACCUAAUCAUGCACAACAUCUCGGACUUAGGUAGUAGCCAUGUCUCGAGAGGAUCAUAUGUGAUGUCACUAAGGAAAGAAGUCACCUCGGUCUCGAGAGCUCUAGCUCUAGCUCGUGUCAUAGGUCCUCUUGGCACUUCUUGAGACGAUGGUAGGUCCAUGGGGAUGAUUGUAGGAUGCUCUGCAUCAUCUCCCCUCCCUUGGGAAAGAUCCGACCUCGGAUCGAAAUCUUCAUCACCAUGGUAGGGAGAGAGAUCCUUGACGUUGAAGAUGUCGCUCACAGAGUACUUGUCGCAUGGAAUGUCAAUCUUUUAGGCGUUGUUGUUGUAGCAUUCAAGCACCUUGAAGGGUCCAUCCGCUCAUGGUCAAAGUUUGGACCUGCGUUCGUGGGGAAAGUGGUCCUUGCGAAGGUGUAGCCACACAAGAUCUCCAAUGUUGAACACCAUGGGGUGCUUGUUGAUGUUGAUCUUGGUUGCAAGUCAUUGCACUUGGCGCUCGAUGGUGAGCCUUGUAUCCUCAUGCGCCUUCUUGAGAUGGUUCACACGUGCACUUGCAUCCAUAUUGAUGCGCUCUUGUAGUGGUAGAGGGAGAAUGUCCAAAGAGGACAAUGGGUUGAAUCCGUAGACGACCUCGAAGGGGGACUUGCCGGUCGUUGAGUGUCUUGCGCGGUUGUAGGCGAACUCGGUGAUAGGUAGACACUCCUCCCGCUCCUUGAUGUUCUUCUUGAUUAGCACGCGAAGUAGAGCGGAGAGUGUGCGGUUGGUCACCUCCGUUUGGCCACCGGUUUGUGGGUGGUAAGCCGUGGAGAAGAGUAGCUUGAUUCCGAGCUUGGCACAUAAGGUUUUCCAAAAGUAGCUUCAUAACUUGACGUCGCGGUCCGAGACUAUCGUCUUUGGCACUCCAUGUAGACGAAGUAUUUCCCUACAAAAGAGAUUGGCAACAUGUGAAGCAUCGUCUAUCUUGUUGCAUGGUAUGAAAUGUGCCAUCUUAGAGAAUCGGUCCACAAUAACAAAUACGGAAUCCUUUCCAUUUCUAGUUCUAGGCAAACCAAGUACAAAAUCCAUGCUAAUAUCUUCCCAUGGUUGACAUGGAAUUGGGAGAGGCAUGUAAAGGCCAUGAGAUUGAGCUUUAGACUUAGUUUUGCGACAUAUCGAGCAUCGGUUGGUGAAGCGGUUGACGUCGCGAAACAUCUUGGGCCAAUAAUAGUUCUUGGAAAGCAUAGCGAAUGUCUUGCCGCGUCCAAAAUGUCCCAUUAGUCCUCCUCCAUGAGAUUCUUGUAAAAUCAACAAACAAAUAGAAGACUCCGGAUGCAAAGUUUGUUAGCUCUCAUAAGAUAUCCAUCUUUGAUGUAAUAAUGAUCCGAAGAGGUAUGCGUCGAACACUUGGCAUAAGGAAAAGCAAAAGUAGGAUCAUGCGCAUACAAGUAUUUUAUGUGCUCAAAGCCAAUGACAUCCAAUUCAAGUUGAGUAACAAUCAUGCAUAUGCAGGAAAGAGCGUCCGCCACAAUAUUUUCCUUACCUUUAAUAUACUUGAUGACAUAAGGAAAAGACUCAAUGAACUCACUCCAUUUAGCAUGACGCUUGUUCAACUUAGUUUGACCUUUAAGGUAUUUAAGUGUCUUGUGGUCGGUAUGGAUGACAAAUUCAUGAGGGAGAAGAUAAUGUUCCCAUUCAUGCAAGACUCGCACUAAAGCAUAUAACUCUUUGUCACAGAUGGGGUAAUUGAGUUGCGCUCCGGAAAGUUUCUCACUGAAAUAAGCUAUGGGGUGCUUCUCUUGCGUUAACACACCUCCUAUGCCAUUACCACUAGCAUCACAAUGAAUCUCAAAGGGUUUGUCAAAGUUGGGUAAUGCAAGCACGGGAGCACGAGUAAGCAAAUUCUUAAGCUCAUUGAAUGCGGUAUCUUGCGAUGGUACCCAAACAAAGGGUGCAUUCUUCUUGCUCAAAGCAUGCAAAGGUGAAGCAAUGGUGCUAAAGUCCUUCACAAAUCUACGGUAGAAAUCGGCUAAAUCAAGGAAGCUACACACUUGUUGCAAGUUGGUUGGUUGGGGCCAAGUUUUAAUAGCAUUGAUCUUAGAGUCAUCAACAUGAACACCCUUAGAGGAUACAACAAAACCCAAGAAAACGAGCUUAUCAACGCCAAAAAGGCAUUUUUCCAUGUUAGCAUAGAGAUACUCUUUUCGAAGAGUUUGAAAAAUGGUUCGAACAUGGGUGACAUGAUCUUUGAGAGAUUUGCUAAAAACAAGGAUAUUGUCAAAGUAGACCACAACAAACUCACCAAUAUAAGGGUGAAACACAUAAUGCAUAAGACGCAUGAAAGUACCUGGUGCUUCCGAUAAACCCAUAGGCAUGACUAACCACUCAUACAAACCAAACUUUGUUUUGAAAGCGGUCUUCCAUUCAUCACCCUAUUGUAUGCGGAUUUGAUAGUAACCACUUUUAAGAUCAGUUUUGGAAAAAAUAGUGGCACCGCUAAGUUCAUCUAGCAUAUCAUCAAGGCGUGGAAUGGGAUACCUAUAGCGAACGGUGAUAGCAUUGAUAGGUCUACAAUCGGAACACAUGCGAAAGCUACCAUCUCUUUUUGGCACAAGAAUGAUUGGAAUGGCACAAGGACUCAAACUUUCACGCACAUGUCCAUGGUCUAUGAGAUAUUUUACUUGCCUUUGUAUUUCUUUGGUUUCUUCGGGGUUGACGCGGUAGGGAGCUUUGUUCGGAUGUGGUGCUCUGGGGAUAAGGUCGAUGCGGUGCUUGAUGCCUCGUAGAGGAGGUAGACCCGGAGGUAGCUUGUCGGGGAAAACAUCUUGGAAUUCCUGCAAAAGAGAAGACAACACUAAAGGUAAAGUGUGAGAGGUGUUAGCUUUUGGUGCCUCGUCCUUGCACAAAAGGACAUAGUGUAUGACACUUGAUGGGUCCACACACACUUCUCUUAUCUCACUUUUGGUGGCAAAUAGAACUAAGUUCUUGUUUUCGCUCAUCGUGGAGGCACUCGAUUUGGGCUUGUGGCGCUCACUCUAUUUUUGGUGGUUCACUCUCUCACUAUUCUCUCCACGAUGAGUGGUUUGCUUGUCGGCGAUCACUUGGCUUGGAGACAUAGGGCGAAGUACGUACUCCUUUCCUUUCAUCUUGAAGAUGUAGUGGUUCGAUCGGCCAUUGUGGAUGACACCUCUAUCAAAUUGCCAUGGUUGUCCGAGAAGAAGGUGGCAAACGGUCAUUGGAACGACAUCACACUCCAAAGUGUCUUCAUAAGCUCCAAUUUUGAAGGAGACUUACACUCUAUGCUCGACUUGGAUGGUGUCGGAGUCGCUUAGCCAUUGAACUUUGUAGGGAUGUGGAUGCUUCAUCUUGGGCAAUUGUAGCUUGGAGCAAAGUUCUUCACUUGCUAAGUUAUGGCAACUUCUUCCAUCGAUGAUGACCUUGACAGACCUUCCAUUGAUGUCGGCCUUGGUAUGAAAGAUAUGGCAUCUUUGGUCUUCUUAUUGUUGAUGUUGAAGAGUCAAGACCUUGCAGAAAACGAGAGCGGGACUUGAAUCUUCGUCACAAAAUACUUGUUCCUCUUCGUCGUUCACUUGCCGGUGCAUGGCGACUUUCUCAAGUGCUUCUAUUUCUCCUUCACUCAUGGAGUCAUAUGUACCAUCGUCGUUGAGGAUCAUGGUUCACUUGUUGGUACACUCAAAGGACUUGUGGCCUCGGCCUCCGCAUGUGAAGCAUUUGAAGGAACUUGUCUUGAUGGUCUCAUCGGUUGGGGUAAAUGAUGGUGAAGCUCUCGGCUUGAAGUUGCUUGUAGUAGGAUGAUGACUUGGAGUUGUCGAAGUUUUCUUGUAACUCAACUUGUUGACGUUGCUUGUAGAAGGCUUGCUUGAUGUAGAAGGUGUUGGAGUCGUUGAAGCUUGGGUGUUGGAGAAGCCGUAUGACUUGGAUGAGAACUUGGCAUACUUGAAGUCAUCUUGCACUUGACGUUUCGCUUUGGAAGCUUGAUGCACUAGCUCGAUGAGGUUCGAGUAUGGUUGGAAGUCGGCGAUCUUCUUGAUGGGAUGAUUGAGUCCAUUCAAGAAACGUGCCAUAGUUUGCUCAUCAUCUUCUGUGACAUUGGCUUGUAUCAUUGCAAUAUCCAUUUCCUUAUAGUACUCUUCAACGCUCUUGGUUCCUUGCUUGAGGAGUUAGAGUUUCUUGAAGAGGUCGCGGUUGUGGUAGGUUGGCAUGAAUCGUGAUCUCAUGAUAUGCUUCAUUUGCGCCCAAGUAGUGAUGGGUGGUUCACCAUUUGCCUCUCGACGCUCAAUGACUUAUUCCCGCCAAAUGAGGACAUAGUCUUGGAACUCAAGGGAUGCCAUCGCGAUCUUCUUCUCUUCUUCAAAGUUGUGCAAGCAGAAGAUUUUGUCGACCUUCAAUGCCCAUGAAAGGCACUCUUCGGGAUCAUUGCUUCUAUUGAACUUGGGCAUGGUGAACUUUAGCUUGCUGUAGCAUUGGUCUUCAUUGUGUUCGGGUCGGGGAUGAUGACGUCCUUGACGAGGAGGGUCGUUUCUCACAACUUUCUCUUGUCGUGGAGGAUUUCCAAUGUUAACUUGCUCUUGUUGAACUUGAUGUUGUUGGCGAGCUUUAUGGAGCUUGACGACACAUUCAAGCUUGAUAGUUCCUUUCUUGAACUUCUUCACGAAGCACUUCUUGAUGUUCACGAGCUUGUCGGCCUCGGUUGGCUACGGCUCGACUUGAUUCUCGGAGGGCUUGUUGCGCCUCAAGUGCUUGAGCUUCUCGCAAUUGUUGUUCUUGACGUUGUGCCUCGACAUCUUGUGCUUCUUUGUGUAGUCGCGCUUUCUCUUCCUCUUCGUGUUGGCGUUGUCAUUGCCGUUCUCGUGCUUGCGCAAAGGUAGCUUGGUUUUGACGAUGAGAGUUGUUGUCAUGUAGAGGGUUGCGGUUUUCUUGAUGAUCUUGGCGCAUGGCACGACAAAGAGUGUUAGAUGUCGGUGUACUUGAGCCGGAGAUGGUGUAGUCACAGUGUCGACUUGAGCGGCUCCGUAUUGAUGAGGACGAAGUGGAAGAAGAGCGGUUGAGCAACAAAGCACGAAUCUCGUCCAUUCUUGCAUCGUUCUCUUGCUUGUGGUCGUCGAGCUUGUGGUCGAAGUAGUCUCUUGUAUGUUGCUCGGAGAGUCGCAAGUCGGUGGCGAGGUUGUCAAUGCGUUCGCUCAUUUCUUUGUUGCUCUUGAUGCAAAGCACGUUGUGCACCAAAGAGGUGGCUCUUUGUGACGUAGGAGUUCAUGUCGUCGUCUUGCCCGAUGAAGAGUGGGUUAGUAGAAGUACUUGGCCUAUCCAUCAUUCCAAGGGAAAUAUGUGAGUGGGAGAAGGAGAAGAACAUAUACCAAAUGUACCUUGACCGAUGUUGAAGAUGGAUCAAAGAUUACUCCAAUGUGGAACAGGGAAAUGGCACAAUUGGUACCAAUUCUUGUCGGUUUCUCACACCUAGACAAGUAAAAGCUUAUGGUGGAGCUUGGUUAGGAUGGUGGCACAAAAUUUGAUGCAAUUGUUAGUGAGCUUCAAUAAUGUUGGAAAAGAUUCGCAAGUUUGCAAUGCAACAAGUAGACCAAUAGCAAUAUAUGGUACACUGGAACACACACACAAAGAGAUGAAUGGGGUCGUGCAACCAAGGAUGAGCCAAAAUGUGGAAUCCACGAAAAUGCUCUUGUUGCACAACACUAGAGAGACGCUAGCAUGAUUGCACAAUAGGCGGAUACAAAGACUUGUGCACAACCUAUUAAGCAAAAAUGUAAUGACUUCUAUCCCAAGUAUGCUCUAUGUAUGGUAUUCCGAUGAUAUGAUCCAAUAUGAUCUAGUAUGACAAUCUUAAUGUUAUAUGAUGCUAUGGUUCUUGCUUAAAAGCUCUUUGCUUAUCUUUCCCUUUUGCUUAAAAGCUUGUUUGGCUCUUUGUUGUUUGAGCUCUUUUCUCAUGCAAUGCUUCACGAACCAAGAUAGCAAUUGUGUAUGCGAUAACAACCUUGUGACACAAGAGAUGAUACCAAGAUAUGCACCAAUGAUAUGAUAUAUAUGCAAUGUUUAGUAUGAUCACUAAUGUGCACAAGUCACGCUGCUAGCAAUACUCAAAGGUUAGUCUCGAUGGGUAAGAUACGCAAAAGGUAAGACUAUGGUGGUUCUCAGUGUAAUGGCAAGAAUGAUGUAUCACUAUAUCAAGACGAGGUUAUCGUUCUUGCUUAUGGUAUGGUGUCAAAAUGGUGGAGUGGUCGUUAUCGAUGACGAAUCCGUGGCGAACAUGAGCGGUAGUGAUGUUGAUGUCGAAUCGUACCAAAAUAGUCGAAAGACAACAGGACACAGAACCGCAACUCAAAUUCUCAAAGCAAAAUGUGACAAAAUUGUCAGAGUUGGUAGGGGUAAGCGAUGGUGGUGCUAUGCGGAAAGUGGUGGUGCUAUGCAGAAGUGUAUGUGGGCAUUGGAACAAAAUUUGUUGAAAUUUGGACAGAAAAUGUGGCGGUGGAUGGAAGUGAUGCUGCCAGGGGCCGGAUGUCCGGGCUUGGGGGCCGGAUGUCUGGGGUGGCCGGAUGUCCGGGGGUUCGGGCCGGAUGUCCGGGCUCUGGAUCCAUGGACGAACUCCGCGUGGAAAGUGGCAAAUCGGGGCAAAAUUUAGGGGAAUUUGUUGAUGGAAAUUGGGGAAAAUAUGGGGGAAAGCUAGAUCUACCUGCAACACAUGAAAUCCGCGGAUCAAAUACAACAAAACUUCAUCACACCAACAAAUCACAAAAAAAUUGGGGGCUAUUUUUGUGGGGAGUUUUCGAAUUAGGGACAAAAUCAAUAAAACAAGGCUAGAAAACAUAGCGGGGAGGCUCCGAAAUCGUGAUCAACGUGGCUCUAGAUACCAAUAUGAUGUAGGGUGGAACCCUAGAUGGCCAAUCUUUCACGAAACGAGUGGAUCCCACGAAGAACACGAGGGAAAACACGAGGGGAAAUCACAAAGGGGAACACAAGUGAAACACUCAAACCAACAAGUAUGAUCACGCAUGUGCUAGAUCCAUGAACACAAAAGGAGAUACAAGAUCCAAAGUAAACAAGGGAUGAUACACGAUAACUGGUUCUUCUCCAAAGAAGGUCUUGAUGGGGCCACCCAAGAGGGGGUCUUGAAUCCAAGGGGAUAUUCUCCAUAGAGGGGUCGCGGUCUCUCUUGUGGAGUAGAUCCGUAAUGGAUGAGCAAAGCUCUAUCUCUAAAUGAGCAAAUCCUUUGCUAACCCUAAAAUGUAGGUAGGAGAAGAGUAUAUAUAGUCUAGGUGGGCGAAUGGGUACACGGGCCUCGGGCCCUUACACUGUGCACAAACAAGGGAGGCCAGACGUCCGGGCGUCGGGCCGGAUGUCCGGGCUUUCACGAGGGGCCGGAUGUCCGGGCUGGGGUGGCCGGACGUUCGAGCUGGAGGCGCUGGUCUUGUUGCUCUAUGGAUAGGUGGGGUCCGGAUUUUCGGGCGAAGGGCCGGAUAUCCGGGUGCGCGGGACGGGCCGGAUGUCCGGGCUGGUCGCCAGAUGUCCGGGCCUUGUAGACUUGGCCGCUAGCUCCUUGCUGUUGUUGACACUUCCAGGGGCCGGAUGUCGGGGCCUGGGAGUUGUUAUUGACUCCUUCCGUUGGUUCUCUUCAUCCGUGAACUUGGGGACUUGUCCGUCUUCACGUGCAUCUUCGGGAGGAUCCUCUUGGUACCUAAUCAUGCACAACAUCUCGGACUUAGGUAGUAGCCAUGUCUCGAGAGGAUCAUAUGUGAUAUCACUAAGGAAAGAAGUCACCUCGGUCUCGAGAGCUCUAGCUCUAGCUCGUGUCAUAGGUCCUCUUGGCACUUCGUAAGACGAUGGUAGGUCCAUGGGGAUGAUCGUAGGAUGCUCCGCAUCAGUAUAUGUGAGUUAGUGUCCCAUCAGUGGCACUACACCUUGUCCGUGUCGCCAUGCCAUUCUAUCUAGGUUGCCCGAGAUGAUGGAUCAUUGUACCAAGACGCGAACACCCUAAAGGCCCUUACAAUUGCGCGACUCUAUCGAGCCGUAUCAAGUGUGAUCUACCGAGGGCGAUUUCUUGUUUUCCACUCUCGAUGAUGACUCUGUAGUGUAGCACAUCUAGUGUGAUCUACUGAGGGUGAUUCCUCGUAUUCCACUCUAGGUGGUGACUUUGCUAUGCAGUAUAUCAAGGUAGACCUAUCGAGGGUGAUUCCUCCGGUUUCACCUUGAUGGUAUGGACCUGAACCCCUGACAGUUCCAAUGAUAAAGACGGGUCGGCCCAAGGGUACCAUUGAGAGAUAAUGUGGCGGAAUGACAGGGCAGAUGGAGACCACCUAGGAGAGCGGUGGGCCUGGUCCCUAGUCGUGGUCCGCAAGUUACAUAGUCGGAGCGAUGACCCUGGUCGUCUCCGCGAGUUACUAAUAAUACACUAACGGAUUUGUGUAUUUGAUCUGAGUUGGGCUACAUGCUUUUACGCACUAACGAUCAUGCGGGAUAAUGGUAUAUGGGACUGUCGGUGUCAAAACCGGCGGAUCUCGGGUAGGGGGUCCCGAACUGUGCGUCUAGGCCGGAUGGUAACAGGAGGCAAGGGACACGAAGUUUUACCCAGGUUCGGGCCCUCUCGAUGGAGGUAAAACCCUACGUCCUGCUUGAUUAAUAUUGAUGAUAUGGGUAGUACAAGAGUAGAUCUACCACGAGAUCAGAGAGGCUAAACCCUAGAAGCUAGCCUAUGGUAUGAUUGUUGUUGUGUAUGUUGGCCUACGGACUAAACCCCUCCGGUUUAUAUAGACACCGGAGAGGGUUAGGGUUACACAAAGUCGGUUACAAUGGUAGGAGAUCUACAUAUCCGUAUCGCCAAGCUUGCCUUCCACGCCAAGGAAAGUCCCUUCCGGACACGGGACGGAGUCUUCAAUCUUGUAUCUUCAUAGUCCAGGAGUCCGGCUGAAGGUAUAGUCCGGCUAUCCGAACACCCCCUUAUCCAGGACUCCCUCAGUAGCCCCCGAACCAGGCUUCAAUGACGAUGAGUCCGGCGCGCAGAUUGUCUUCGGCAUUGCAAGGCGGGUUCUCCCUCAAAUUCCGUGUACCUGUUUAAUAAAGUCCGGUUUCUUGUAGAUGUUGCGCUCCUUGGCUUCUACGCCCAAUAAUGGCCGCUUCCCACUUGUCAAACGAAUAUGAAAAGUCUGAGUGUUUUUACAUUCACACCCCUAGCCGUGUAAAUGAGCUGCCCUAUUUAAGGGGACGAGGAUUUAGAUCCAAACCACAUCUUCCCCCCUUCGCGAGUGUUCAUCAGAGCGCAUCCGACAAAGGUCCAUUCCACCAUGGCCAUCCAUCGCAACUCCUCCUUUCGCCCUUCCAGCCCUCAGCCUAGAUAUUGGGAGAGAUGCUCCAUCCCGCAUAGCGAGCUAGUGACGCUCCAGACCAAGGGAUUUCUCCCCCCGGCCUAUAUGAUCCCGGUUCGAGCCGGUCUUGCCGUCUAUAACGACGGAAAGCAAGCGGAGAGUGCCCCUAAUCCCUCCAAAGGAGAGCGGGUUUGCCUCGUCCCUUAUUUAAUAAGGGGGCUCGGGUUUCCAAUCCAUCCAUUUCUCUGGGGGCUGAUGGAGUUCUACGGCCUCCAGCUACACAAUCUCACGCCUGCCUCCGUAUUGCAUAUCGCGGGCUUCGUAGCCCUCUGCGAGCUGUUUUUAGGCAUCGAGGCUCAUUUCAGGCUAUGGAAAAGGUUAUUCUGCCUUGUGCCCCGCUCUAAGGAGGGGUCAAUGUAUCAAGUGGGCGGAGCCGAAGUGUGGCGCAUCGCCGGGACCGGAUAUCUGUCCGGAACCCCAAAGAAGGCGUCCGAAGACUGGCCCUCAGAAUGGUUUUAUAUAGAAGACGUCCCGCUGCCGGAUCCUGUCCGGAUCGGCCUUCCUGAAUUCAACAGUGCUCCCUUAAAGAAGCGCCUAAGCUGGCAUCCACGGAGCCCUCAGAGGGAAAGUGACAGGGACAUCAUUUACCUGAUGGGCCGAAUAAGAUUGUUAGCCCAUUCCGGACUAACCAUGAUCGGGGUUAUGGCCGAAUGCAUCAUGCGGGGGGUGUAGCCACUUCAGUAUAGAAGCCACCCCAUGUGGGACUUCAACGGGGAGGACGAUGCCACCCGAUACGGCCGUAAGGGGCCGGAUUCAGCUGCCGCUCUACUAAAGAUCUUGUCCACUUUGUAUAAGGGAGAAGAGGAGGAAUUUCUCCGCGUCAACCCACAGGGUGGAUUCUCUAUGCACAAUCCCCCAAGCUGGGUAAGCGGUCACAUUUACUUGCCCAUCCAUUUUGUAUUCCCAUUGUUAAAUAUUCAGUCUGACAACUUCAACGCAGGAACUGCGCCAGGCUGUUAAGGAAAUAAGCAGCCCUCCUCCACAACCCGAGGACCCAGGACGGUCCCUCGACCUGGCCUCUCAAGAGGAUCCGGACAUAUCUGUGGAGCUGAUUGAUGGAGUGUUCCAUCAAUUGAGCAAGGACAACGCCUUGGUGGCCAUUACGGCCGAUUACCCAGGGCUAAUCCCGGCCUCCCAGGUAACUGAGAUCGAAGUCCCAGUACCCCGAAUAGGUGUCCGCCCUCUCGUGUUUCCAGUUUCCUGAUUACAACCGAACUUUGCAGGUUUUUGAAGCGGAAGGCCGAACCUGCGGCGACAAGCCAAUGAGGGGCCGCAGGGCCCCGUGGGCAGAAAAGAAGUGCAGUCCGGACCGAGGCGUCAACGCAAAGGUAUGGCGCCCCCCUUAUCCCAGGUGUUAUACCUUCGAGGCACAUUGACACUCGUGCUCUCUUCAGGACAAAGAGACCUCGCUGGACUAUAUCCGGAGAGGCUGCCAAUCGCGCCUCCACCAGCCAGGCUCCAAAGCCUGGUCCGAAGGCGGAGGCGAAUGCAAGGCGCGCGCCAGACGCUCCUCCGACGGAGGAUGUGGACGGGUUGUCUGCCACCAACUCUGAGGUGGAGAGUGCCAUGAACCACAGGCGUCGCCGGACAAUUCUUCGCGACGCUUGUUUCUCCCAAGGGGCGUUAGAUGCCUUCAACUCGGGAGAUGCGUACCUCCGUGCCGCUCAAAAUGGUCUAGCCAGGGCCACGGAGCAAUAUGUAAAAGACAUACGAGUAAGAAAAUUUUGGUAAUUAUAUAUAUAUAUAUAUCAGUAGCCCCCGAGACUUGAAACAGUUAGAAUAACUGAUUUAAGGAUCAUUUGUUAUGCAGGUUCUUACAGAAAAGAAUUCCCUACUGUCCAAGGAGCUGGAAGAGUGCAAAGCCCAACUUGAGGCCGCACUAGCCGCAGCAGGGGAGCCCAAGGAGACCCCCUCUGGUAAUAUACACUUCGAAAGAUAAGUAUUUUGCGAAGCACGGCAUGGGUGCGAAUCUGACAAAUGAUUUUGCAGAUGGCGCCGGAUUGAAUCCGAAAAGGCAACACCUCCUACGCCAGCUAAAGGCUGGUGAGAAGGUGCUGACAAAGGUGAGGCGGGAGAAGAACGAUCUCCAAGAUGCCAACACCAAGCCGGGCAUCGAGCUGAAAGAUGUUCGUGCCCAGCUAUCAGACUCCGUGAAGGAGAAUCAGCGGCUUCGGCGCAGCAUAUUUAGUAAGUGCUUGAAAGAACCUUUGAAAGAAAGUUCGGCGGGGAAGUCGACUAACAGAGCAAUGUCUGUAGGUGUGCUAACAGGUCGUCCUGCAGAGGAGAUGCCCGGUUCUACGGGUGACCUUCUUCCCGAGCUCUCGCAACUGCUCGAUCGAGUUCGGCAGGCGAUGCAAGGCGUCGCCCAGGCCCUGUGGCCAUCCGUCUCCAUGCCCGAAGGUCUUGGAGAGCUUGCGGAGAAGCUAAAGGGAGCACGGUGGCGCUUCCGAUUGUGGAAGAUAUCGGCCUGCCGUCAAGGCACUAGGGAGGCCUGGGCCAUGGUGAAGACGCGGUACACAAAGGCUAACCCCAACCACAUGGCCGAGGUCGGUCCUGUAGGGCCCGAUGGGAAGGAGAUCCCUGUAAGCUUAGUAUACGGCCAAGUAGAGUUGGCCGCAAAGUAUUCCCAGCAGGACUGUAAAUUAGACAGCUUGUUAGAUGGUAUUGAAGAGGAAUACAAUCAGUCAAAAUGACUAUGUAAUUUAAUUGACAUUUAUAAUGCCUUCUAGCCGGAUUGUAGAUCAUUUGUCAUGGCCGACCUUUUCGCUUCAGCCUCGGGACCUGACGGUCCGGAGUGUGUCCGAAUUCCCAUGCGGUUAUAUAGGAACCGGGGAAUGCAUGGAGACCAGGCGUAGGGGUCAUUAGUGCGUGAACAGACAAGUGCCCGACUAGUUAUGUUAUAUUACAUGGUUAGUAAGAAACAUCUUCCAGGGAGAAUAGUUCCGUUAGGGGUUCCUUUCCCUGGGAGGCAUGCCCUAAGGUGCAUGUCCAUGCUGCGAAAAGAAACGCAGGAAAAACAUCUGGGGGCGUAUGGAUAAAUAAAAUAAAAAAAGAUCAUCUUUAGUUCACCGACCGAAUAUUCCCUUAAGAACGCUAGCUUUCGGCUUCACCCAGUCCGAGGUACACAUCUGGCUGACCCGGCAGUAACAAUCGCAGAGGUGCUCCCUUUACCACCUAGCCGAACAAUCGGGAACAUAGGGGUAAGCACAGGAGCCAGGCAACCCAGCUUGGCCAAAACUUAAGUCAUAUCGAUGCAUAUAAUGGUGAAUAAAAGGUACAUGCGGAAGUGUGACACAUGUGUUGGGCAUGAAGCCCGUAUAAAUAAGCUUCUGUUUAAAGAAGCCCCCAGGUUUAAUGAACGCGGAUAGCGCGUCACUUUAUGAGCCUUUAAAGGCUAUAAGAGAGAGAGAGAGAGAGAGGAAGAGAAAUGUAAGACAAAAAGUAUAUAAAAAAUGGACAGAGGAAGGAGACGAACACAGAGUCCGGCGCUAGGCAUAGAAUCUUCGGAGACGGGCUGCGUUCCAUGGGUUCGGCUCGAGUCGGUUAUCCGAUGCAUCCCGCAGGCGGUACGCUCCACCAGUCAGGACUUGGUCAAUUAUGAAGGGACCUUCCCACUUGGGCUUGAGUUUGUCCUUUUUCUUGUCCGGUAGUCGUAGAACUAAUUCGCCAACAUUGUAAUUUUUGGCACGUACUUCUCUCCUUUGGUAUCUUCGAGCCUGCUGUUGAUAGAAUGCGGAACGGGCUUUUGCCACGUCACGCUCCUCCUCCAAUGCGUCCAAGCUGUCCUGCCGAUCGAGCUCGGCUUCUCUUUCUUCGUACAUGCGCACUCGAGGUGAGUCAUGAAUUAUGUCGCAAGGCAAAACUGCCUCUGCGCCGUACACCAUAAAGAAUGGUGUGUAUCCGGUGGUGCGAUUCGGCGUGGUCCGCAGCCCCCAGAGUACGGAGUCGAGCUCCUCUACCCAGUGCGUGUUAGAUUCCUUAAGGGACCGCACUAAUCUGGGUUUGAUGCCGCUCAUGAUAAGACCAUUUGCAUGUUCGACAUGGCCGUUAGUUUGUGGGUGAUAGACAGAAGCAUAAUCAAGCUUGAUGCCCAUGUUUUUGCACCAGAGUUUUACCUUGCCGACCGUAAAGUUCGUGCCGUUAUCCGUGAUGAUGCUGUGGGGGACGCCGUAAUAGUGUACAACCCCGGAUAUAAAGUCUAUCACCGGUUCGGAUUCGGCCGUCUUAACAGUCUUGGCUUCUAUCCAUUUGGUGAACUUAUCCACCAUGACCAGUAAGUAUUUUUGCUUGUGGGUUCCGCCUUUAAGGGGUCCAACCAUGUCAAGCCCCCAGACCGCGAAGGGCCAAGUGAUGGGGAUAGUUUGGACGGCGGUGGGUGGCGUAUGGCUUUGGUUUGCAAAGAGCUGGCAACCGGUGCAUCGUUGGACUAAGUCCUGGGCGUCUGCCCGGGCCAUCGGCCAAUAAAAGCCUGUACGGAAGGCCUUGCUUACAAGGGACCGAGCUGCCACGUGAUGACCGCCGAGUCUAGCAUGAAUUUCAGCCAGGAGGUUCCGCCCUUCCUCUUCGGAGAUGCACCUUUGAAGGACUCCGGUAGUGCUUUUCUUAUAAAGCUCUCCCUCGUGGACUUUGUAAGCUUUGGAUCGCCGCACUAUGCAGCGUGCCUUAUUUUGGUCCUCGGGGAGUUCCUGCCUAGUAAGGUAGGCGAAGAAUGGUUCCGUCCACGGGGCGAUAACGGCCAUUAUUACGUGGGCUGAAGGUGUUAUUUCAUUGGCAGAGCCUCCGAUUGUGUCGGAAUGUUCGGUGUCAGGCAGUGCGGUUGGGUCCGGGCUGUUAUUGUUUGGCUCCCCUUCCAUACUACGGAUGGCUUGAACAACCUUUCCAAGAAGAUGUUGGGGGGGACUACAUCGCGUUUUGCGCCGAUGCGUGCCAGGACAUCUGUCGCCUGAUUAUUUUCCCAGGCUACAUGGUGGAAUUCAAGCCCUUCGAACCGAGCUGACAUUUUUAGGACGACGUUGUGGUAAGCUGCCAUUUUUGGAUCCUUAGCAUCGAAGUCUCCCUUUAUUUGGGAUAUUGCGAGGUUCGAGUCCCCGCGCACCUCUAGGCGUUGAAUGCCCAUGGAUACUGCCAUCCGGAGACCAUGUAAAAGGGCCUCAUAUUCGGCUGCAUUGUUGGAGUCCGUGUACAUAAUCUGGAGUACGUAUUGAACUGUGUCUCCUGUGGGGGACGUCAAAACAACGCCAGCCCCCAGUCCGGCCAACAUCUUGGAGCCGUCGAAAUGCAUGAUCCAAUUUGAAUAUGUGUCGUACUCUUUAGGGAGUUCGGCCUCCGUCCAUUCUGCGACGAAGUCGGCCAAGACUUGCGACUUGAUGGCUCGACGUGGCUUAUAAGUUGUGUCGAAUGGGAGGAGCUCAAUGGCCCAUUUUGCAAUCCGGCCCGUUGCGUCACGGUUGUUUAUAAUAUCGUUAAGUGGUACUUCCGAGGCUACUAUUAUUGAACACUCUUGAAAGUAGUGUCGUAGCUUCCGGGAUGCCAUGAAUACCGCGUACGCAAUCUUUUGAUAAUGCGGGUACCGUGAUUUGCAGGGAGUGAGGACAGUGGACACAUAAUAGACCGGCUUUUGAAGGGGGAAUUUGUGUCCGUCCGCUUCUCGUUCGACGACGAGCACUGCGCUUACAACCUGAUGUGUUGUUGCAAUGUAUAAUAGCAUUGGUUAGCCAAUGUUUGGCGCGGCCAGGACUGGGUUUGUUGCCAGUAUGGCUUUUAUUUCGUCGAGUCCGGCUGUGGCUGCAUCCGUCCAUUCGAAGUGUUCGGUGCGCCGAAGGAGGCGGUAAAGGGGUAGGGCCUUUUCUCCCAAGCGGGAGAUAAAGCGGCUUAGAGCCGCCACGCAUCUGGUUAACUUUUGUAUUUGUUUGAGAUCCUUUGGGAUAUCCAGUUGCGGCAGAGCUCGGAUCUUGGCUGGAUUUGCUUCAAUUCCUCUACCGGAUACAAUGAAGCCCAAGAGCUUUUCGGCUGGAACGCCGAAAACGCAUUUUUCCAGGUUGAGCUUGAUGUCGUAUGUUCGGAGGUUAUCAAAUGUGAGCCUCAAGUCGUCUACUAGAGAUUCGACAUGUCUUGUUUUGACGACCACAUCAUCUACAUAUGCCUCCACUGUUUUGCCGAUCUGGUUUGCAAGACAGGUCUGAAUCAUGCGCUGAUAUGUUGCACCGGCGUUUUUGAGCCCGAAGGGCAUCGUGUUGAAGCAGAAUGGGCUGUAUGGUGUGAUAAAUGCCAUUGCGGAUUGGUCUGGUUCUGCCAUCUUGAUUUGAUGGUAGCCGGAAUAUGCGUCGAGGAAACACAACGAAUCAUGUCCUGCGGUAGCGUCGAUAAUUUGAUCGAUGCGGGGGAGGGGGAAGGGAUCCUUUGGGCAAACCUUGUUAAGGUCUUUAAAAUCAACACACAGGCGCCAGGAUUUGUCCUUCUUUGGUACCAUCACCAGGUUUGCUAGCCAGUCUGGAUGUUUUAUAUCUCUGAUGAAUCCGGCCUCCAAUAGCUUUGCUAGCUCCUCUCCCAUGGCUUGUCUCUUAGGUUUGGAAAAACGCCGAAGAGCCUAUUUGACAGGUUUGAAUCCUGUUUGGAUAUUUAAGCUGUGCUCGGCCAGCCUGCGUGGGAUUCCUGGCAUGUCUGAAGGGUGCCAGGCGAAAAUGUCCCAGUUCUCUCGUAGGAACUCUCGCAGUGCGGCGUCUACAUUAGGGUUUAACUGUGCCCCGAUGGAAGCUGUUUUGUUGGGGUCCGUUGGAUGGACUUGGAAUUUGACUAUUUCGUCUGCCGGAUUAAAGGAGGUGGACUUGGAUCUUUUGUCGAGUACCACAUCGUCCCUAUUCACCGUAGAGCGCAACGCAGUCAGUUCCUCAGCCACUAGGGCUUCGGAUAGUGCCUCGAGGGCCACUGCGGCUGUCUUGUUUUCGGCGCGGAGUGCUAUGUCCGGAUCACUAGCGAGAGUGAUGAUCCCGUUAGGCCCGGGCAUCUUGAGCUUCAUGUACCCGUAAUGGGGUAUUGCUUGGAAUAUUGUAAACGCUUCCCGCCCUAGCAGAGCGUGAUAACCGCUGCUGAACGGAGCCACAUGGAACGUGAUCUCUUCGUACCUGUAAUUAUCUAGCGUGCCGAACACCACAUCUAGUGUGAUUUUUCCUAUACAGCGCGCUUCCCGACUGGGGAUUAUUCCUCUAAAGGUUGUGCUGCUUCGCUCAAUGCGGUUCCAGUCUAUUUCCAUUUUUUGAAGGGUUUCCUCAUAAAUGAGGUUUAAUCCGCUACCGCCGUCCAUGAGUACCUUGGUAAGAUGAAAGCCGUCCACUAUUGGACUAAGGACCAAUGCGGCUGGUGCUCGGGCUGUUCGGGAUUUAGGUUCAUCACUGGCGUUAAAGGUAAUAGCCGUGUCACUCCAUGGGUUUAUUGUUGCUACUUGGUAGACUUCGGCAAGGCUGCGGAGUGUCCUUUUUCGCAUAUUAUUUUAUGCGAAAGUCUCGAAGACUGUUAAUACCGUAUUGGUGUCUCUGGGGUGGCUUUCUGUGGCCUCUGGAAUUAGGAGAUUUUCGCCAAUUUUGUCCACCUGCCGGAGUAUCCAACAUGCUCUAAGGCUGUGAGUUGGUGUGGCGUCCUCUGUACUGUGAAUUUUACAGGGUCCAUUAAGCCAUCCUUCCGGUACGGUUCCAGGCCCUAUAGAGGGUUUUUGCUUUUUAGUGCUUGACCCGGGUGUCUGGUGAUGAUGCACCCUUUUAUUUCGGACUGGGUUUGUAUUCAGGGCCGGAUUGUCCCAAAAUUUUAUUUCGGUUUUGCAGGCGCUUUCCAUCGCACAGUACUUUCGUACAAUGGAUGCCAAGUCAGCGAAGCGUGUAAUAUCACGGCGACUUAUGGCGUUGAGUAUUCCCUUGUCCGUGCAAUUAUUGCAGAAAAUUGAGAUUGCAUCUUCCUCGCGGCAGUCCCUUAGCCUGUUCUUAACCAGGAGGAAUCUGGCCCAGUAAUGAUGUACUGUUUCAUCGGGUUCUUGCCUGAUUUUGGAUAGAUCGCUUAUGUUGGGGUGGGUGGGUGGAAUUAAAUCCGAAGCCUCACCCCAUCUGAGGCUCAAAGGCCGAGGAAUUUCUGAACUCAAAAAUUUGGAUUCCUGGAUGUUGUCCAAUGAAUCCAGCCUGUCGCCCGACUCUAAGUUCAGGUCUUGAGUGAUAUCCUCCCCUCCGCGGGUACCCGGCUUGGAGGGAUCGGGAAUCCGGACGUAGCGAGUCCUUAAGAUAGAUGAAGGGUCGCUGCACUAUCCCUCUACCACGGCAACGUGAUGGGUGACUUGGGGAGAGUUAAUCUCUCUCAGAUCGGGUUUAGGUCCAAUCUGGUCAUAAUCCGUAGCGACUCCCAGGGCGGCGAAGCGAUCCAAGAGCCCAUGUAUGGAGGAGAGCUCCAUUGGAUCUAACUGCUCGGCGAGUUCCGAGCUGACAUGAAGAUUGUUUUCGAUGGCUCGAGAGGUCAUCAUCGGCGCAGAAGCCGAACAGGCGGUCAUAAGAAAACCACCUAGCCGGAGGGUUUGGCCGACAGCCAAAGCUCCCUUAGCAACGGUGCCAUCUUUAAAGACGAGGCGAGGCAUCCUUCCUGAUGGCGACGACACAGAGGAACUCUCAAUGAAAGCACCAAUGUCGGUGUCAAAACUGGCGGAUCUCGGGUAGGGGGUCCCGAACUGUGCGUCUAGGCCGGAUGGUAACAGGAGGCAAGGGACACGAAGUUUUACCCAGGUUCGGGCACUCUCGAUGGAGGUAAAACCCUAUGUCCUGCUUGAUUAAUAUUGAUGAUAUGGGUAGUACAAGAGUAGAUCUACCACGAGAUCAGAGAGGCUAAACCCUAGAAGCUAGCCUAUGGUAUGAUUGUUGUUGUGUAUGUGUUGGGGAACGUUGCAGAAAACAAAAAUUUUCCUACGUUUUCACCAAGAUCCAUCUAUGAGUUCAUCUAGCAACGAGUGAUCGGAUGCAUCUACAUACCUUUGUAGAUCGCGAGCGGAAGCGUUCAAAGAACGGGGAUGAAGGAGUUGUACUCGUCGUGAUCCAAAUCACCGGAGAUCCUAGCGCCGAACGGACGGCACCUCCGCGUUCAACACACAUACGGUUAGCGUGACGUCUCCUCCUUCUUGAUCCAGCAAGGGGAAUGAGAGGUUGAUGAAGAUCCAGCAGCACGACGGCAUGGUGGUGGAUGCAGCAGCCACCGCAGCAGGGCUUUGCCGAGCUUCUGCGAGAGGGAGAGGUGUAGCAAGGGAGAGGGAGGCGCCAAGGCUUCAGGGUGUGGCUGCCCUCCCCCCCCCUUUAUAUAGGCCCCCUAGGGGGGUGCGCCGGCCCUAGGAGAUGGGAUCUCCUAGGGGGGGGCCAAGGGGGUGGAGUGCCCCCCAAGGCAAGUGGAGGCGCCCCCUCCCCUAGGGUUCCCAACCCUAGGCGCAUGGGGGGCCCAAGGGGGGGGCGCACCAGCCCACUAUGGGCUGGUUCCCUCCCCACUUCAGCCCAUAGGGCCCUCCGGGAUGGGUGGCCCCACCUGGUGGACCCCCGGGACCCUUCCGGUGGUCCCAGUACAAUACCGUUGACCCCCGAAACUCUCCCGAUGGCCGAAACUGCACUUCCUAUAUAUAAUUCUUCACCUCCGGACCAUUCCGGAACUCCUCGUGACGUCCGGGAUCUCAUCCGGGACUCCGAACAACUUUUGGGUUACUGCAUACUCAUAUCUCUACAACCCUAGCGUCACCGAACCUUAAGUGUGUAGACCCUACGGGUUCGGGAGACAUGUAGACAUGACCGAGACGACUCUCCGGUCAAUAACCAACAGCGGGAUCUGGAUACCCAUGUUGGAUCCCACAUGCUCCUCGAUGAUCUCAUCGGAUGAACCAUGAUGUCGAGGAUUCAAGCAAUCCCGUAUACAAUUCCCUUUGUCAAUCGUUACGUUACUUGCCCGAGAUUCGAUCGUCGGUAUCCCAAUACCUCGUUCAAUCUCGUUACCGGCAAGUCACUUUACUCGUACCGUAAUGCAUGAUCCCGUGACCAGACACUUGGUCACUUUGAGCUCAUUAUGAUGAUGCAUUACCGAGUGGGCCCAGAGAUACCUCUCCGUCAUAUGGAGUGACAAAUCCCAGUCUUGAUCCGUGUCAACCCAACAGACACUUUCGGAGAUACCCGUAGUAUACCUUUAUAGUCACCCAGUUACGUUGUGACGUUUGGUACACCCAAAGCACUCCUACGGUAUCCGGGAGUUACACGAUCUCAUGGUCUAAGGAAAAUAUACUUGACAUUGGAAAAACUCUAGCAAACGAACUAUACGAUCUUGUGCUAUGUUUAGGAUUGGGUCUUGUCCAUCACAUCAUUCUCCUAAUGAUGCGAUCUCGUUAUCAAUGACAUCCAAUGUCCAUAGUCAGGGAACCAUGACUAUCUGUUGAUCAACAAGCUAGUCAACUAGAGGCUUACUAGGGACAUGUUGGUGUCUAUUCAUUCACACAUGUAUUAUGAUUUUUGGAUAACACAAUUAUAGCAUGAAUAAAAGACAAUUAUCAUGAACAAGGAAAUAUAAUAAUAAUCCUUUUAUUAUUGCCUCUAGGGCAUAUUUCCAACAGUCUCCCACUUGCACUAGAGUCAAUAAUCUAGUUACAUUGUGAUGAAUCGAACACCCAUAGAGUUCUGGUGUUGAUCAUGUUUUGCCCUAGGGAGAGGUUUAGUCAACGGAUCUGCGACAUUCAGAUCCGUAUGUACUUUACAAAUAUCUAUGUCUCCAUCUUGAACAUUUUCACGAAUGGAGUUGAAGCGACGCUUGAUGUGCCUGGUCUUCUUGUGAAACCUGGGUUCCUUGGCAAGUGCAAUAGCUCCAGUGUUGUCACAUAAGAGUUUGAUCGGCCCCGACGCAUUGGGUAUGACUCCUAGGUCGGUGAUGAACUCCUUCACCCAAAUUGCUUCAUGCGCUGCCUCCGAGGCUGCCAUGUACUCCGCUUCACAUGUAGAUCCCGCCACGACGCUCUGCUUGCAGCUGCACCAGCUUACUGGUCCACCAUUCAACAUAUACAUGUAUCCGGUUUGUGACUUAGAGUCAUCCAGAUCUGUGUCGAAGCUAGCGUCGACGUAACCCUUUACGAUGAGCUCUUCAUCACCUCCAUAAACGAGAAACAUGUCCUUAGUCCUUUUCAGGUACUUCAGGAUAUUCUUGACCGCUGUCCAGUGUUCCUUGCCGGGAUUACUUUGGUACCUUCCUACCAAACUUACGGCAAGGUUUACAUCAGGCCUGGUACACAGCAUGGCAUACAUAAUAGACCCUAUGGCUGAGGCAUAGGGGAUGACACUCAUCUCUUCUAUAUCUUCUGCCGUGGUCGGACAUUGAGCUGAGCUCAAUUUCACACCUUGCAACACAUGCAAGAACCCCUUCUUAGACUGAUCCAUAUUGAACUUCUUCAAUAUCUUAUCAAGGUAUGUGCUUUGUGAAAGACCUAUGAGGCGUCUUGAUCUAUCUCUAUAGAUCUUGAUGCCUAAUAUAUAAGCAGCUUCUCCAAGGUCCUUCAUUGAAAAACUUUUAUUCAAGUAGGCCUUAAUGUUGUCCAAAAGUUCUAUAUCAUUUCCCAUCAAAAGUAUGUCAUCUAAAUAUAAUAUGAGAAAUGCUACAGAGCUCCCACUCACUUUCUUGUAAACGUAGGCUUCUCCAUAAGUCUGCAUAAACCCAAACGCUUUGAUCAUCUCAUCAAAGCGAAUGUUCCAACUCCAAGAUGCUUGCACCAGCCCAUAAAUCGAGCGUUGGAGCUUGCACACCUUGUCAGCAUUCUUAGGAUCGACAAAACCUUCUGGCUGCAUCAUAUACAAUUCUUCCUUAAGGAAACCAUUAAGGAAUGCCGUUUUGACGUCCAUUUGCCAUAUCUCAUAAUCAUAGAAUGCGGCAAUUGCUAACAUGAUUCGGACGGACUUCAGCUUUGCUACGGGUGAGAAAGUCUCAUCGUAGUCAACCCCUUGAACUUGUCGAUAACCCUUAGCGACAAGCCGAGCUUUAUAGAUGGUCACAUUACCAUCCGCGUCUGUCUUCUUCUUGAAGAUCCAUUUAUUUUCUAUGGCUCGCCGAUCAUCGGGCAAGUCAGUCAAAGUCCAUACUUCAUUUUCAUACAUGGAUCCUAUCUCGGAUUUCAUGGCUUCCAGCCAUUUGUCGGAAUCCGGGCCCGCCAUCGCUUCUUCAUAGUUCGAAGGUUCACUGUUGUCUAACAACAUGAUUUCCAAGAUAGGGUUGCCGUACCACUCUGGUGCGGAACGUGUCCUUGUGGACCUUCGAAGUUCAGUAGGAGCUUGAUCAGAAGUAUCUUGAUCAUCAUCAUUAACUUCCUCUCUAAUUGGUGCAGGCACCACGGGAACAUUUUCCUGAGCUGCGCUACUCUCUGCUUCAAGAGGCGGUACUUCAUCAAGUUCUACUUUCCUCCCACUUACUUCUUUCGAGAGAAACUCUUUCUCUAGAAAGGAUCCAUUCUUGGCAACAAAGAUCUUGCCUUCGGAUCUGAGGUAGAAGGUAUACCCAAUAGUUUAUUUAGGGUAUCCUAUGAAGACGCAUUUUUCCGACUUGGGUUCGAGCUUUUCAGGUUGAAGUUUCUUGACAUAAGCAUCGCAUCCCCAAACUUUUAGAAAUGACAGCUUAGGUUUCUUCCCAAACCACAAUUCAUACAGUGUCGUCUCAACGGAUUUCGACGGUACCCUAUUUAAAGUGAAUGCGGCAGUCUCUAAAGCAUAGCCCCAAAAUGAUAGCGGUAAAUCAGUAAGAGACAUCAUAGAUCGCACCAUAUCUAAUAGAGUGCGAUUACGACGUUCGGACACACCAUUACGCUGAGGUGUUCCAGGCGGCGUCAGUUGUGAAACUAUUCCAUAUUUUCUGAAGUGUGUGCCAAAUACGUGACUCAAGUAUUCUCCCCCAUGAUCUGAUCGCAAGAACUUGAUUUUCCUGUCACGUUGAUUCUCAACCUCACUCUGAAAUUCCUUGAACUUUUCAAAGGUCUCAGACUUAUGUUUCAUUAAGUAGACAUACCCAUAUCUACUCAAGUCAUCAGUGAGGGUGAGAACAUAACGAUAGCCACCGCGAGCCUCAAUGUUCAUUGGACCGCACACAUCAGUAUGUAUGAUUUCUAAUAAGUUGGUUGCUCGCUCCAUUGUUCCUGAGAACGGAGUCUUGGUCAUUUUACCCAUGAGGCAUGGUUCGCACGUGUCAAAUGAUUCAUAAUCAAGAGACUCUAAAAGUCCAUCUGCAUGGAGCUUCUUCAUGCGUUUGACACCUAUGUGACCAAGGCGGCAGUGCCACAAGUAUGUGGGACUAUCAUUGUCAACCUUACAUCUUUUGGUAUUCACACUAUGAAUAUGUGUAGCAUUACGCUCAAGAUUCAUUAAGAAUAAACCAUUCACCAUCGGAGCAUGACCAUAAAACAUAUCUCUCAUAUAAAUAGAACAAGCAUUAUUCUUGGAUUUAAAUGAGUAGCCAUCUCGAAUUAAACGAGAUCCUGAUACAAUGUUCAUGCUCAAAGCUGGCACUAAAUAACAAUUAUUGAGGUUUAAAACUAAUCCUGUAGGUAAAUGUAGAGGUAGCGUGCCGAUGGCGAUCACAUCGACCUUGGAACCAUCCCGAUGCGCAUCGUCACCUCGUCCUUCGCCAGUCUCCGCUUAUUCCGCAGCUCCUGCUUUGAGUUACAAAUGUGAGCAACUGCACUGGUAUCAAAUACCCAGGAGCUACUACGAGUACUGGUAAGGUACACAUCAAUUACAUGUAUAUCACAUAUACCUUUCGUGAUGCCGGCCUUCUUGUCCGCUAAGUAUUUGGGGCAGUUCCGCUUCCAGUGACCACUUCCCUUGCAAUAAAAGCACUCAGUCUCGGGCUUGGUCCAUUCUUUGGCUUCUUCCAGACAGCUUGCUUACCGGGCGCGGAAACUCCCUUGCCGUCCUUCUUGAAGUUCUUCUUACCCUUGCCUUUCUUGAACUUAGUGGUUUUAUUCACCAUCAACACUUGAUGUUCCUUUUUGACUUCUACCUCUACUGAUUUCAGCAUUGCAAAUACUUCAGGAAUGGUCUUUUCCAUCCCCUGCAUAUUGAAGUUCAUCACAAAGCUCUUGUAGCUCGGUGGAAGCGACUGAAGGAUUCUGUCAAUGACCGCGUCAUCCGGAGAUUAACUCCCAGCUGAAUCAAGCGGUUAUGUAACCCAGACAUAGUGAGUAUGUGCUCAUUGACAGAACUGUUUUCCUCCAUCUUAUAGUUGAAGAACUUGUCGGAGACUUCAUAUCUCUCGACCCGGGCAUGAGCUUGAAAAACCAUUUUCAGCUCUUCGAACAUCUCAUAUGCUCCGUGUCUCUCAAAACGCUUUUGGAGCCCCGGUUCUAAGCUGUAAAGCAUGCCGCACUGAACGAGGGAGUAAUCAUCAGGACGUGUCUGCCAAGCGUUCAUAACGUCUUGUUCUGCAGGGAGAGCAGGUGCUUCACCUAGCGGUGCUUGUAGGACAUAAUCUUUCUUGGCAGCUAUGAGGAUGAUCCUCAGGUUCCGGACCCAGUCCGUAUAGUUGCUGCCAUCGUCUUUCAGCUUGGUUUUCUCUAGGAACGCGUUGAAGUUGAGGACAACGUUGGCCAUUUGAUCUACAAUACAUGUUGUAAAGAUUUUAGACUAAGUUCAUGAUAAUUAAGUUCAUCUAAUCAAAUUAUUCAAUGAACUCCCACUCAGAUAGACAUCCCUCCAGUCAUCUAAGUAUAACAUGAUCCGAGUUAACUAGGUCGUGUCCGAUCAUCACGUGAGACGGACUAGUCAACAUCGGUGAACAUCUUCAUGUUGAUCAUAUCUUCUAUACGACUCAUGCUCGACCUUUCGGUCUUCUGUGUUCUGAGGCCAUGUCUGUACAUGCUAGGCUCGUCAAGUCAACCUAAGUGUUUGCAUGUGUAAAUCUGUCUUACACCCGUUGUAUGUGAACGUUAGAAUCUAUCACACCCGAUCAUCACGUGGUGCUUCGAAACAACGAACUGUCGCAACGGUGCACAGUUAGGGGGAACACUUUCUUGAAAUUAUUAUGAGGGAUCAUCUUAUUUACUACCAUCGUUCUAAGUAAACAAGAUGCAAAAACAUGAUAAACAUCACAUGCAAUCAAAUAAUAGUGACAUGAUAUGGCCAGUAUCAUAUAGCUUCCUUUGAUCUCCAUCUUGGGGCUCCAUGAUCAUCUUGUCACCGGCAUGACACCAUGAUCUCCAUCAUCAUGAUCUCCAUCAUCGUGUCUCCAUGAAGUUGCUCGCCAACUAUUACUUCUACUACUAUGGCUAACACGUUUAGCAAUAAAGUAAAGUAAUUUACAUGGCAUUUCUCAAUGACACGCAGGUCAUACAAAAAAUAAAGACAACUCUUAUGGCUCCUGCCGGUUGUCAUACUCAUCGACAUGAAAGUCGUGAUUCCUAUUACAAGAACAUGAUCUCAUACAUCACAUAUAUCAUUCAUCAUUCAUCACAACUUUGGCCAUAUCACAUCACAAAACACUUGCUGCAAAAACAAGUUAGACGUCCUCUAAUUGUUGUUGCAAGUUUUACGUGGCUGCAAGAGGGUUCUAGCAAGAACGUUUUCUUAUCUACGUUAAAGCCACAACGUGAUUUGUCAACUUCUAUUUACCCUUCAUAAGGACCCUUUUCGUCGAAUCCGCUCCAACUAAAGUGGGAGAGACAGACACCUGCCAGCCACCUUAUGCAACUAGUGCAUGUCAUUCGGUGGAACCGGUCUCACGUAAGCGUACGUGUAAGGUUGGUCCGGGCCGCUUCAUCCCACAAUACCGCUGAAGCAAAAUAAGACUAGUAGUGGCAAGAAAGUUGACAACAUCUACGCCCACAACAAAUUGUGUUCUACUCGUGGAAAGAGAACUACGCAUAGACCUGGCUCUAAUACCACUGUUGGGGAACGUUGCAGAAAACAAAAAAUUUCCUACGUUUUCACCAAGAUCCAUCUAUGAGUUCAUCUAGCAACGAGUGAUCGGAUGCAUCUACAUACCUUUGUAGAUCGCGAGCGGAAGCGUUCAAAGAACGGGGAUGAAGGAGUUGUACUCGUCGUGUUCCAAAUCACCGGAGAUCCUAUCGCCGAACGGACGGCACCUCCGCGUACAACACACGUACGGUCAGCGUGACGUCUCCUCCUUCUUGAUCCAGCAAGGGGAAGGAGAGGUUGAUGUAGAUCCAAUAGCACGACAGCGUGGUGGUGGAUGCAGCAGUCACCGCAGCAGGGCUUCACCGAGCUUCUGCGAGAGGGAGAGGUGUAGCAGGGAAGAGGGAGGCGCCAAGGCUUCAGGGUGCGGCUGCCCUCCCCCCUUUAUAUAGGCCCCCUAGGGGGGUGCGCCGGCCCUAGGAGAUGGGAUCUCCUAGGGGGGGCGGUGGCCAAGGGGGUGGAGUGCCCCCCAAGGCAAGUGGAGGCGCCCCCUCCCCUAGGGUUCCCAACCCUAGGCGCAUGGGGGGCCCAAGGGGGGGCGCACCAGCCCACUAUGGGCUGGUUCCCUCCCCACUUCAGCCCAUGGGGCCCUCCGGGAUGGGUGGCCCCACCCGGUGGACCCCCGGGACCCUUCCGAUGGUCCCGGUACAAUACCGUUGACCCCCGAAACUCUCCCGAUGGUCGAAACUGCACUUCCUAUAUAUAAUUCUUCACCUCUGGACCAUUCCGGAACUCCUCGUGACGUCCGGGAUCUCAUCCGGGACUCCGAACAACUUUCGGGUUACUGCAUACUCAUAUCUCUACAACCCUAGCGUCACCGAACCUUAAGUGUGUAGACCCUACGGGUUCGGGAGACAUGUAGACAUGACCGAGACGACUCUCCGGUCAAUAACCAAUAGUGGGAUCUGGAUACCCAUGUUGGCUCCCACAUGCUCCUCGAUGAUCUCAUCGGAUGAACCACGAUGUCAAGGAUUCAAGCAAUCCCGUAUACAAUUCCCUUUGUCAAUCGGUACGUUACUUGCCCGAGAUUCGAUCGUUGGUAUCCCAAUACCUCGUUCAAUCUCGUUACCGGCAAGUCACUUUACUCGUACCGUAAUGCAUGAUCCCGUGACCAGACACUUGGUCACUCUGAGCUCAUUAUGAUGAUGCAUUACCGAGUGGGCCCAGAGAUACCUCUCCGUCAUAUGGAGUGACAAAUCCCAGUCUUGAUCUGUGUCAACCCAACAGACACUUUUGGAGAUACCCGUAGUAUACCUUUAUAGUCACCCAGUUACGUUGUGACGUUUGGUACACCCAAAGCACUCCUACGGUAUCCGGGAGUUACACGAUCUCAUGGUCUAAGGAAAAGAUACUUGACAUUGGAAAAACUCUAGCAAACGAACUAUACGAUCUUGUGCUAUGUUUAGGAUUGGGUCUUGUCCAUCACAUCAUUCUCCUAAUGAUGUGAUCUCGUUAUCAAUGACAUCCAAUGUCCAUAGUCAGGAAACCAUGACUAUCUGUUGAUCAACGAGCUAGUCAACUAGAGGCUUACUAGGGACAUGUUGGUGUCUAUGCAUUCACACACGUAUUACGAUUUCCGGAUAACACAAUUAUAACAUGAAUAAAAGACAAUUAUCAUGAACAAGGAAAUAUAAUAAUAAUCCUUUUAUUAGUGCCUCUAGGGCAUAUUUCCAACAGUAUGUUGGUUUACGGACUAAAUCCCUCCGGUUUAUAUAGACACCGGAGAGAGUUAGGGUUACACAAAGUCGGUUACAAUGGUAGGAGAUCUACAUAUCCGUAUCGCCAAGCUUGCCUUCCACGCCAAGCAAAGUCCCUUCCGGAUACGGGAUGGAGUCUUCAAUCUUGUAUCUUCAUAGUCCAGGAGUCCGGCUGAAGGUAUAGUCCGGCUAUCUGAACACCCCCUUAUCCAGGACUCCCUCAGGGACCCUCGUUGUCGUACGUUCCUUCUGAAAGCGAUCUAGAUGUCACUGUUCAGAGAUGUGGGUUGAUUGUUGGGGUGAUCUAUAAGCGCGUGCUUUGUAUAAAGAGGUAGCCAGGAUUGGUCCCCGGCCAGUCUCGCAAUGUGCAGGAGUACUUAGGGUGAUGAGCCCAAGACCCCUUCGUACUUUGGAUUUAGACUGGCGUGAUGACCUCCCUGAAGAGUCUAGGUUGGUCUACGACGUGUCGAUCUGUCGAGGCCGGACAUUACCCAUAGAAGUGUGCCCAAAAGUAUGUCCGGCUAGAGUUAAUCGAGCGUGUUGGGUAAUGAGGUGUAGCCCUGCAGGUAAGUAAUCUAUUCGAAUAGCCGUGUCCGGUAGCAUGACGCUUGGAGUUGUAUCCUGAUCUACUACAACUAGAACUGCAUACUAGUUUUGAAACUUAAAUGAUGUUCUACUCCGGGAUCGCUUUCUCGCAGAUAAUCGAGGAAGGAUCCUAGAGCAUUGUUGAUAUAAACAUGUUACUAUAUAUUUUAUGUGCUCCUCUCUUCUACUGCUGCAAGGUGAUGGCUGCAGAUGAUGCUAGUCUUCGCUAGGAUAGGCUCCCCCCCCCUCUAUUCUGGCAGUUCUGCAAUUUAGUCCAACGAUAUAGCUCAAUUCCUUUGACACUGAUGCAUACUUAGCAUAAUUCUGAUGUAAGUCUUCGAGUACUUUGGAUGAAUAUUCACGGUUGCCUUGCUAUCUAUUUUUUCUUCCUGGAUAUUGCGAUCAGAUGAUGCAGCCCAGGAGCGAGAGGAGCCCGAGCUUGGCUACUACAUGGAGAUCUAGGACCAGGAGUAGUUUGGAGAUCCCAGGCAGGAGGCCUACGCCUUUUUAAUCUAGUCGUUGUUUGUUUUCGCCUUCUUAAGACACCUUUGUAAAUGUCUGUACUUAGACCUAACUCUUGAUGUAAUAACGGGUCCUCGUGACGCAGAUUUGUAAUUUAUGAGAUUUAUGUUUAUUCUUUGUGUCGUAGAGUUGUAUUGUGAUAUUAUACCGUGAGUUACUGAUUUUGAUCGUGCAUGUUGCGUGGAUAUUUAGUGCACGAUUAAUUUUAGAGGCGUCACAGUGAGUUAGCCUCCUAUUUUUAAAUUUUGUUUUGAUUAAACGGACGAAAUAUCAUCCAUUUUAUAUAAAUUAUGACAAAACUUUAGCUUAUUUCGUUGUGUUUGAUGAAAUCUGUUCAAGUUAUUCAAAUUUGUUUUGAAAUGGACGCGAGUACGAUUGGAUAGCUGACUCCGCAUCACUGUUGAUAUCGUGUUUGUUUUGAUGAUCAACGUUGGAGAUGUCCUAGGACUUAAAAGAAAAUAUAUAGAUAUGAUCGAAGGGCGGACACCGACACCAUUUCUAUUAUUUCUAAUAGUUCGGGUGCGUAUGGUCAACACCAUAGAUUAGCCGCCGAAACACUGAACGAGCACAUAUUUUGCAACGACGAAUUGGACACCAGCCACCCCCCGCCCGCCACGCAAAAAUGCCCUUUGAGGCGAAGAAUGGACGGUCGAGACCGGCACCAAAACGACGUGUACACCGAUCUAGAAAAAAGAGAGAGGGGAAAAGUAUACGGUUAUACUUUCUUCCAAAGAGAAAAGUACUGGUAUAUACUCCACCGUAUAAACAAUCGAUAUGAUUGAGCUACGCCACGUUGGUGCAGCCUAGCGGACCAUCCAUCCAUCCGAGGGCCCCAGAAGGGAAAAAGAAGAGGCGAUAUUCCAAUUCUUUCCACAGCCCACUUGCACGUUCCGCACGAGCCCAUGUUCCGCAUUUCCUUUCCCAUUCCCACACCACCCGGCCCCAAUCACCCAACCUCCUCCCCCGCCCGAUCCCAUCUGACCACCCCCAAAGUCCAAACACGACUCUUCCGUGGAUCCAUUUUUCCUCCGAACAAACGUGCUCCGUCCAACCACGGCACACCGCACGCCAGCACUGCGCGCCCCCUCCCAUUCGCCGAGGCCGCUGUGCGGUGCGCGCCCGCCCGCAGCGGAUCAGCAGAACGGAACGAAUCGAAAGACCCGGCACGCGACGAACCUGCCCCCACCGCCAGAGACGCCGCCACCCGCGCGGCCCACCGCCGACGAUCCACCAACCGCGGACCGAUCGACGGCCCAGAUGCCGCACCCGCCCCGCGCCGCGGGUACGCACGGGAAAUGGCCGGGAUCCCNNNNNNNNNNNNNNNNNNNNNNNNNNNNNNNNNNNNNNNNNNNNNNNNNNNNNNNNNNNNNNNNNNNNNNNNNNNNNNNNNNNNNNNNNNNNNNNNNNNNNNNNNNNNNNNNNNNNNNNNNNNNNNNNNNNNNNNNNNNNNNNNNNNNNNNNNNNNNNNNNNNNNNNNNNNNNNNNNNNNNNNNNNNNNNNNNNNNNNNNNNNNNNNNNNNNNNNNNNNNNNNNNNNNNNNNNNNNNNNNNNNNNNNNNNNNNNNNNNNNNNNNNNNNNNNNNNNNNNNNNNNNNNNNNNNNNNNNNNNNNNNNNNNNNNNNNNNNNNNNNNNNNNNNNNNNNNNNNNNNNNNNNNNNNNNNNNNNNNNNNNNNNNNNNNNNNNNNNNNNNNNNNNNNNNNNNNNNNNNNNNNNNNNNNNNCCCCCGCGAGAGCGACCCGACCCGCCCCGCUCCACGGGCGGGCAGGCGGGCGGGCGAAGAUAAAGAGGCCCGCAUCCCGCAAACCCUAGCCCCCUCGCAUAUAUUCCCCCGCCCCGCAGCCCCUGGUCACCCCUCUCUCUCUCUCACCGCAAGACCGGAAGGAGCGGAGCCGCCGAGCCGGGAAGAGCCACCACCCCAUCUUCCUCGCCUCCGCUUCCGAAGGGUGAGUUCCUCCGCGCAUGGCCGCCCACUCCCCUCCCUUGCUAUUUCUGGCUUUGUGGCGAGCCGUGGUCGUCCGUGCUCGCGGCGUAUAUAUAGAUCCGCCUCCCCGUUGGUCGAGUAGAUCCAUUUGUGUUCGUUCCGCUUCGGUUCAACUCGGUCUGGCGCUAGUCUCGCGUCCUCGGUGAUUAGAUCCGUGCCUCCUUCCUCUCCGGUAAGGAGGAUCUGCUGUUUGGUAACUCGUUGUCUCCUUUGUUCGUCAGAUCUCAUGUGUAGAUGCCUGUUUUUCCCCGUCGUUUUGCGCGAUCUGGUUUGUUGUCAUCUGGAUCGCGCCGGUUUUUUGGAUCUCUGGAUCCGGAAGUCGUUGGCCUUGUACGUCCAAGUCGGGGUAUGCGAUAAAAGAGGUCUUGUCUUUGUGCAAUUAGAUCCAGUCUUAUUUUGUGCUACCUGAUCUGUUGACCUGACGCGAGAUGCCCCACAUAGUGUUAAGACAAAUGGAGUUUUUUACUCGGAUGUUAAUGUCAACAGAUCUGAUCUGUUUUUGUGCCUUUGUUUGUUUAGAUGCAAGUAGAUUUCUGUUGUACAUCACAUGCACCAAUUGAAAGCCGUGUCUUUCCUCAUGAUUAGUUAAGAUCUUUUGAUGUUGUACCGUGGGUUUUAGUUCUCAUGAAGUUGUUUCUGUUAAUGAUGCACUUUGACUCAGCUGAUCCACCUGGAUUAAACUUAAUUUCAGUUUAGCAUUAUGUGCUGAUUUUGCCAACCAUGUUUUAAUAUCCCAUUUGAGUAUUUUCAAGCGGCUCAACUGUUUCCGUCAGCUUGCAAUACUACUAUGUUCAUUAGUUUUGUUGCUAGUAGGGAUUAUCGGUAAAUUUCCAAAAUGUGUUUGUGACUGCUAUUCAUACAGAUUAGGGCUAACCAAGUUGUAGAGAUCACUUUGGUUCUCUAACCAAGUUGUAGAGAUCACUUUGGUUCUUUAUCAUGUUUCUUAUGGUUACAAUUUAGUGUAAAUGUUCGUUAAUUACAUCCUUGUUAUUAUAUAUCUAUAUGAGAUAGUACGCUUUACCUGAUUUGCUUGUUAUUUCCUGGCUGUAUGUUAGUUUAUACACUGUUUCAUAAUUACAUCAAGCUUGCUAACUUGUACUUUGGUUUGAUUGUUGUUGCAGGUCAGAGAUGGCGGACCGUGCUAACCACCCGUCUGUCAUGCAGAAGUUUGGUGGACAGUUCCACCUUGCCUCCAGCUUCUCUGAGGGUGUUCGUGCUCGCAACAUCUGCCCUUCUGUGCCAUCCUAUGAGAGGCGCUUCACCACAAGCUGCUACAUGACUCAGAACCUUGGCAUCAGUGUCCCCAUGAUGUCAUCUUCUCCAUUGUUUGCCAAUGCACCACCUGAGAAGAAAGGUGUCAAGAACUUUGCAAUUGACUUCCUCAUGGGAGGAGUGUCCGCUGCAGUUUCCAAGACUGCUGCAGCUCCUAUUGAGCGUGUUAAGCUGCUUAUCCAGAACCAGGAUGAGAUGAUCAAGGCUGGCAGGCUCUCUGAGCCAUACAAGGGUAUUGGUGACUGCUUUGGCCGCACCAUCAAGGAUGAAGGCUUUGGCUCAUUGUGGAGAGGAAACACUGCUAACGUCAUCCGUUACUUCCCAACUCAGGUAUCCAUCUCUUGUUGUUAUGCUUAUUUUCAUUAGCUUUCAUGGUCACAUGAUGGUAAUGGUGUAUGUUGAAUGCCUUUUCUCAGUCUUUGAACUUCACAUGAAAUGCGGCAUUUUACAAUCUGUCUGUAUUGUUAUUUUCAUCAUCUGUUUGUCUUGUUUUUGAAUGCCAGUUUUACAGCUGAUGCAUUUUAGGAGAUAAAAUUGAAUAUCUCUAUUGUAUCCAGAAAUUCUAGUUCAAAUAUUUCGUUUUCAUAUGGCUGAUGCUAGUUUUAUGCACCAGAAUUAUUCUUUUGCUAUUGUUUUCUUGUUCUAACUUAAUCUAAUUCAUUGAUGUCUUUUUCCUAGGCUUUGAACUUUGCAUUCAAGGAUUACUUCAAGAGGAUGUUCAACUUCAAGAAGGACAAGGAUGGUUACUGGAAGUGGUUCGGUGGCAACCUUGCUUCUGGUGGUGCUGCUGGUGCUUCCUCGCUCUUCUUCGUGUACUCCCUGGACUAUGCUAGGACAAGGCUGGCCAAUGACGCAAAGGCAUCCAAGGGUGGAGGUGACAGGCAAUUCAAUGGCCUGGUUGAUGUCUACCGCAAGACUCUCAAGUCAGAUGGUAUUGCUGGGCUUUACCGUGGAUUCAACAUCUCUUGUGUUGGAAUCAUUGUCUACCGUGGUCUGUACUUUGGACUGUAUGAUUCUCUGAAGCCCGUUCUCCUCACUGGCACUCUCCAGGUUUGUUCUAGUACCUUGCCACAUUCCAUUCUAUUGUCAAAUUUCUCUGUUUGUGUGACAGCCACUGACAUCCUUGAUCACCAUUCACCUGUUUGCAGGACAACUUCUUUGCCAGCUUUGCUCUUGGUUGGUUGAUCACCAACGGUGCCGGUCUUGCAUCUUACCCCAUUGACACCGUCCGCAGAAGGAUGAUGAUGACCUCCGGAGAGGCUGUCAAGUACAAGAGCUCCUUGGAUGCUUUCCAGCAGAUCCUGGCGAAGGAGGGUGCCAAGUCUCUCUUCAAGGGUGCUGGUGCCAACAUCCUCCGUGCCAUUGCUGGUGCUGGUGUGCUCUCCGGCUACGAUCAGCUCCAGAUCCUCUUCUUCGGCAAGAAGUACGGCUCAGGCGGUGCCUAGAGGGGAAGAAAUGAUGACGAACAAGAGAAGUCUGUUCCCAGUCCUGCCCUUCAAGGAUCUGGCGAACUUUUAUCUUUUUAACGUUGGAAGGCAAUAAUUUCUGUAGAGGGUGGAUUUUCCCAACAUUCGUUUUUGGUGGAGGCAUCGAACUCCAGAGGUUGUCGUAGGUUGGCGGCAGCGUUCUCAAAACAUUUACUAUCAUAGGGGUUGAGUUUGAGUUCGAGUAUGUGCCCUGAAUCGUUACUGGGCAAUUUUCCUUAAAUACAUUGUCCUCCAAUCCUACUGAGAUUAUUAUGGUCCAAGUUUAUGCUGUUGGUCUUGACAUCCUAUUUCUGUUUGCAUUUUUAGUUUAUGCUGUUGCUUUGCCUGUUCAUAAUUCUUAUUGAUUUGCCUGUGAUUCUUGUUUUACUUGCUUUGUCUGUGAGAUUCUGAUUCGUGUUAGUACACUGCCUCAGUUCCGAAAUGUAGUAGUGCGUAGCCAAACAUCACAAACUUUGAUCAAAUUUGCGCAACAUUUACAUCGUAUCAUUAACAAUAAUAAGUAUUUUCAUGUUAAAUAUAUUUCGUGUUGUAAGUAUAAAUAGUUUUAAAGUUCUGGAAAUUUUUGACUUUAAAAAAAAA